rnacentral:lncRNA from 1 species
CGGCGGCGGCUCCCUGAAGAUGAAAUAAGGUCUUCCCCGCCUAGCCCCCGUUCCGAGAUCUGUCUAGCAUCGUCGGUGGACGUGUGGAGGUGUGUCUCCGACGGAUCUAUCCUUGAUGGAUUUGCUCGGAUUUGGUCGUAGUUGGAUCCUUCCGAUCUACGCUACUCAUCAUCGGCGGCGGUUGUUGUUCUGUUGCGCUGGUCCUAUGGGGUCUUAGCACCACGACUUCCCGACUGUCUAUUACAACAAGUUUUUGCCCGACUCUGGCGAGGGAGGGGCGAUGACGGCGGCGCGCCUUUGGCUCGCUUCAGUGCUUGUAGUCGUCGCUAGGUGGUCUACGGACCUGAAUGUAAUUUUUAUUACUUCUGAUAUCCGUUGUAUUGCCAUGAUUGAAGAUGAAUAGAUUGAAUGUUUUCUUGAAAUAAAAAUAUCUCAUCUAAAAAAAAGCAACAGAUAUAUUGAAAUAUUUGUAGGUCGCAACAAAAGGUAGCACCCGGGGAAGGCCACAACCUCCCGCCCCACCACCGGCAAGAUCACACCAGCACGACGGCGACACAAUCACACAAAUCGUCACGUUUGUUGCUUGACUUGCCGCACCACCGCAGCAGCACAGGAAGCUCCGCUUGCAGAAAAAACGUCCAACGCCGACGGUUUCCACGGGGUGUUCCUACGCUCCCGCUGUUCGCGAAGUUUGGCUAUUUCUCCGCGUCCGUAAAAAACUUCUUUACCUCUGCUGCCCUGCAUGCAUGCACUUGCACCCACACACACGUGCACCACCACACAUGCAUCCACAAGAAAACGGCAACGUCAGAUGGAGUUCAGGUCCAUCACCUACAAUGGUGAGGACACGUGGCCGUUAUACUCGUUCCGUUUCAAAAUGUAGUGCGUACAGAUUUUUGAAAAAAUAAUCAAGCUUUGCAAACUUUGAUCAAAUUUAUAGAAACAAAUUAUUUUUAUUUACAAUACCAAAUCUAUAAAAUAUGAAACUACAUAUUAUGAUGAAUCUAAUGAUAUAUGUUUGACAUUCUAGAUGUAAAUAUUUUUUCCCACAAACAUGAACAAAGUUUUUGCGGUUUUUUUCCCAAUGCAUGUUGCACUGCAUGUUGGGUUCAAUGCACCGUUGGCGAGCGGGCUGAGCGGUGCUUGUGUAGGAGUUCAAGAGCAUUUAGUUCUAGAUGUAUCGAUUGUAAAUUUAUGUAUGAUUUCCCGUAAUUAAUUAGGGGACGCUCUGUUUAAAAAUCAACGAAUUAUACAAUGUUUUGACCUUGGUUUUGAAAAAUUCUACUAGCACUACUGAAAAUCUAAACAUAGUUACGGCAAAAAAGGAAAUAUUUGGAGACUUUUCCUGCCGACCGUCCUAGUCACCCUGGCCGUCCCACCUGACCGGAAGCCGUCACAUCUUUACCCAGCUUCACCCCACGGGAUAACGCCACGUCGAGGCGUCAUGUUGCUCGUCACAAUGUUAUCCAGUUCUUGCCAAGUUGUCGGUCCUCAAGGCACUACUAAAGCAAUAUAAAAAGGUGGUUCCCGCUCGCACCCGGGGAAGGCCGCAACCUCCCGCCCCGCCCCACCCAGCCACCGGCAGAAGCACGCCACCACGGCAGCGACACAGCACCAUUCUGAACCAACACAUUUCUUGCUUGCCGCAGCAGCUGCACACCCAGAGACGAUCCGUUGAGCUACUAGCUUCUUGGCGGCGGCGAUGGCGAUCCACCUGCUGGCGUUCAUGGCGGCCAAGGGCUUCGUGCAGGUGUUCCAGGUCUCGGCGCCGCUGCUGUGGCCGCUCAACCUCUGGCUGCCGCUCCCGCGCAACCUGCCGGAGGUCUGCAUCGUCGUCUGCAGCGCGCUCGCCUCCCACGUCGCCUGGCUGCGCCGCGCCUACGCCCGCCGCCGCUCCCGAAGCCGCGACGACGACGACAACGAGCUCCACCGCCAGGCGAUAGUCGACGCCUCCGCAUACUGAGAGAUGCUGGAGCAGGAGCAGGACGGUUUUUCCUUUUCAUUUUGAUUUGUAGGUUUGCUGGCUGCAUGUUCGAUCAUUGUGUUCCCGAGCGUCCCGUGACAUGUGUAUGUUGGCUGUAAGUUGUAGUAACAUUCAAUCUGUAGAUACGAGUAAAUUCUAGUACUAAAACCGACGGAUUCUGUCGUGAUUAUUCGCUUUGGUCAAUUGCUCAGCAUUUCUUCAGGAAUUUUUCCAUGGCAAGAACAGAGUACUUUUAUUUGUGUUUGACCGGGGUGGCAUUGGCAAGAACAAAGGAAACUUCGCGGUAGAUCACACCAAGUACAUACCAAAAUGUGCCAGUUCCUUCACGUCAUCUUCUUAUCAACUCAUCCUAGCUACUGUCUGAUUAAGUAAUAUUCAGUCGAAAUCAUCAUGCUAAGUACUCCCUUUGUUCGGAAGUACUUGUCCUAAAAAUAGUUGAAAAUGGAUGUAUCUAUAACUAAAAUAAGUCUAGAUACAACCAUUUUAGGACAAAUAUUUUCGGACGGAGGGAGUAGGUGCCCAUUGCUGAGUCAGCUCAGCUGCACCACCAUUCUUGAAGCAAUUAAUCUAGUAGAUCAUGCUUGUUGUGGUACUUACAAGUUACAAAUAUCUGGGCCCCAAAAAAAAACUGCAAAACAUACUGACCACCUCACCUGAUAAGUACAUGCGCUAGGUAAAGUACAGUGUCUUAUCUGUCACGGUGAAGGCGGCUAAAAGUAAAAGAAUUUUUCUCUUGUUGAUUGAUGACUUUUCUACUCAGCAUGAUGGCGUGAGUUGUUAGCAUUCUUAACCGACUAUCACGCGACCACUGAUUGUUAAACGACAAGGGCAUUUGUCCAUCUUUCACGGCAUCUUUCACGACCAGUCACCCCUUCUCGACAGUUCUAGCUUUUGCGCGAACCCUGCACUACUACUUAUAGCUGAACAGCAGAAACCAUACCUCUGAUAGGAGUUAAUUGCACAGAAGUACCAUAAUUCGGGCAUCACACGCAGAUUGGUACCACGAUUACUAAUCUUUGCAUGUCAAUACCAUGAUUGCUCCAGGUUUUUUCAGAUAACGCUAAAACGCGUAUUUAUACGUAUUGACGCUCGAUCCGACAGCUCGGGCCCACCCGUCAGGUGCCACGCUGGCCAAUCGGCGCGUGCCCGCGCGCUGACUAGGACGAGCCGGUUCGAACCCGGUCCGGUCGCACCAGCUCGCCCCCGCCGCACCAUUCCCCUCCCCUCCUCCUCUCCUCACUCGUUUCCUCCGUCGCCGCCGCCUGCGUCCCGACUGCCGGCCGCCGCACCGCCCCGCCGACGCCAUGGUUUUGGAGGACGAAAGCAGCGACGACCAGUCUAGCCUCCCGUACAUGCAUUCUUCCUCCACAGACGGUCUCAACGAGGUCAGUACAGUGAGUUUAGGGUUAGGGUUACAGAUUUGGGAUUUCUCGAUUUGGUUGAUUUUGGUAGGUUUUGAUUUGCCCAUUGUCUUUGUGCGAGCUUCUGCAGGUCCCUUUCAGCCUUGAAGAUCCAGAUUACAAGGGGCUUGAGCUGGAUGUGAUGUCUUCAUGUGAGAAGCACGGCAUGGCAUCUGAGAGGCUUGUUGCCUUUGAAGGAACAGACACAGGCAGGCGGUUUUUAGCAUGUGCACAGCCGGUAUGGAUUGUAGACAUAGUGAUUUUUUUUCUUACUUUGUCAGUGCCAUAUUGAACUCUGUUUGCUGAAGUACUCUCCUUGCUGUCAACAUUUUGGUUCAUAGUGGCAUUAGAGUAGCUUAUUUAGGUCAAGCAUGAGUAUAUUUUGCUGGAGUACAAUGGCAUAGUAAUUUUGGUUAAUAGUGGUACUAGAGUAGCUUAAAAAUGAUAACUAACCUAGGCAUAGUGAUUUUUUUUCUGUUUGCUGGAGUACUCUGUUUGCUGGAGCCAUAUUGAACUCUGUUUGCUGGAGUACUCUCCUUGCUGUCAACAUUUUGGUUCAUAGUGGCAUUAGAGUAGCUUAUUUAGGUCAAGCAUGAGCCAUAUUGAACUGUGUUGGUGUUGUUGUUGUUUUUGCAGGCAGGUAGCAAUUGUGGCUUUGUUGAAUGGGUUGAUCACCAGUGGCCCCCAACAAUGCAGAAUGCAUUGUUGAAGCUAUGGGCAAUGGUUGAAGAUGCCAAAACUGCUAGGGUGAAUGACAAUCUUGAAAGUUCUUUCACUAUCCACCAUCUGACAGAAGAGAAGAACAAGCUGGAUGCCAACUAUGACAAGCUAGUCCAAGAUGUGCAUGAGCUGAUGAACUUCCAGGAAGAUAAGGUGGUGGAUUUCAGACAUCUGCGGUCUGCCAUUACAUAUCAGCAGGAGGUAAGAAAAGAACUGAUUGAUGAUAUGAAGGCACAGAUGGCAAGUGAGAUGGCAAAGAAAGAUGAAGAGACCCAGAAACUUACUAUCAAGUAUGAGCUGCUGCUCAACCUGACAAGAGCUCAAGCAACAGUCAUUCAGAACUUGAAGCUGAACAAAAUGAAAGAGAAGCAAGUGCUUACUGAAGCUAGUAUGAAUUUGGAGCUGAAGAAUGCAGAGCUAACAAAGUGUCAGGAGAAGCUCACCCAAGAGAAGCUAGAGUUGAAGCUUCAGGUUGCUGAUCUGCUUAAGGGAAAUGAAAAGCAUAUUGAAGAGAAGUGGCAGUUAGAGUUUCAGAAUGAAAAGUUGAAGGAGAAGUUCAGAGGGAUUCAGGCCAUCUUGGAGAAGUGAAGAAGAUGAAAAUGAGAUUAGUGCCAUUGCUGACCUUUUGGGAAUGAUGGUUGUGUAAUGACCUAGCAUCUAGGAACUAAGGUUGUGUACUGUAUGCUUGUACUAAUGGUGAACUAUGGCUGUGUAUGUAUGUAGUAGUUAUGCUAUUCAUCCUUUUGUGAGAAAAGGAUGAACUAUGCAUUUGAAGUUGAACUCCUCUAUGUAUUGUGAACAAUGGUUAUGUAUGGCUAUAAUGAGUUGAACUCCAGAAACUAAUGUGAUCAGUUUCUUAUUAUGUAUGGAUAUGCUGAUUAUGUAGAAGGAUAUGUUGAUGAUGAUACAUUAUGACAAUGUUGCAGCAAACCACUCAUGUCAUACAAAAUAAAAGAGGAACAAGACUGACUAAAUCUCAUUGCAUCAGAAGAUAACUUCACUGAUCCAUUACAACUUGGCUUAAACUAGAGCAACUAAACUAGACAGUACAUUGCAUUUAGAUUGGCUGCAACUAAACCAACUAACUAACUUAAUAUCUUGCCUGCAACUAACCCAAGCACAAAUAUAGUGAAAAGAAACAACACAUUGUGAAAUUUGGCCCUAAUCCCUACAAUCUCUGCAUUCUUCUCUCUGAGUUGAGUUUGCAGAGACAGAAACAUGGCCUCCCUUGUGCCAUCAUCUUCACUUGGAGUUAGCAUUGGAAAUUGAUCUUCCUCUCUAGCAACAGUUGCACCUUUAAGCCUCCAUACUUCAUCACGUAGAUCCCCAAUGAGCUCACUCCAGAAUGUGGGCAAUGGAUCAUCAUGCCAUUGCACAAAUCCACAGCCACCGUGCUAUUAAGAUGCAGAAACAAAUUUCCAAAAAUAUAUCAUUUCACAUACUAUUGCACAGAAGAAAAAGGAAGGAAAUUAGGCAAAAAAAACAGCACUCACCAUAGCAUCCACGCAGCUAUAGUACCUCCUACCAGGGUUCUGCCUGCUCCAGGAGAUCCAUCUUGGCGCCUUCCUCGGAGGUGAGCAGUGGCACAUCACUGGGGGCUCGUAUGCCAUUGGGAGCUCGCGGUAGCGCACCGGCGAGCGCGCCUCCUCCCCCCUCCUUCCCGCAGCUCGACGAAAUCCGGGAGCGGACCCGGCACUGGACGACCACGACAUCUCUCUCUCCAUCGUCGGCCCCAGUCAGCGCCUCCACGCUGAGAUUUCUCCUUCUUCUCCUUUGCUGCGCUCCAAAUGGACACUGCGUGGACGAACCCUAGUUUCGUUCCCAAAUCUGAGAUCUUGUGCUGUCACUUUAAUAGUAGGAGAGGUACCUGUCCCACAUGUCAGAAUCCCCAAAUGUGGUACUGCAUGUUAUGUGAUGCCCCAAUAUUGGUGCUGACAUGCAACAAAUAGCAGCAGUAUUGGUACUGAUUUGAAACAAGUAACUGAAAAUGUGUUACUGCUUUGCAAAUACUGGUACUCCACCUGAAGUUCAACUUUACAAUAACCACCUCAAGUUCCACAUUAAGAUAACCACCUCAAGUUCAACAUUACAAUAACCACCUCAAGUUCCACAUUCAGAUAACCACCUCAAGUGGCAACAACACAUCAACAUGAGCAUCAAGUUCAACCAAAAUAACACCACAUCAUUUCAAAUUACUUGGCUCCUCUUCCUCUACUAGCAGUGAAGUAGGACAUCCAUCCAGUGUGUGUACCAUCAGUAGGAAUGUCAGCAUAUUGCCUGGGGGCACUGAAUGGCCUUGGAGCACCUCUUCCAGCUCCUCUUCCUCUGCCAGCUCCUCUUCCAGAUGGUGGUGGUGUAGUAGAAGUAGCAGCUCCUCUUCCUCUUCCAGAUGGUGGUGGUGUAGUAGAAGUAGCAGCUCCUCUUCCUGUGGCAGCUCCUCUGGCAGCAGCUCUUGGCUGUCUUGCUGUUGUUGUAGUAGAAGGACCAGCAGCUCUUGGCUGUGAGUUACUUGGAGUAGCCUUACAAAGAAAAGGAAAACAGUUAAUAAUGCUAGAAAGAAAUGUACAAGAAAUAAAGGAAAGAUUUGUAUAUUUCAAGGUGAAAAUUUAUUACCACAUGCUUAUUCUUCCUCAAAGCUAGCUCAGGCUUCAACUGUUUAAGACAGUUUGUGUACCUAUGCCCUUGGAGACCACAAUUGCCACAUGUUAUGGUCCCCAUUCUUGAAGUGUCUUUUGGCUUUGGUACUUCAAAUUUUCCCUUGAUCCUCUUUUCUUUCUUUCUUCCUCUCUUGAUUUUGAAUGCAGGUGGUUCUAUGUCUGGACCAGGGGUCCUUGUCCAAUCAUGCUCACCAGGCACAGGAAAGAUCAUUGGUUCAUAAGCUGCAGCAUAAAAAUCUUUCUUGAAGAAUUUGCUGACAUAAUCCUCUGGUUUCCUUUUAGCCUUGUUUAUUGCAGAGAUGGCAUGGUUGCAAGGUAUGUCACUAAGGUCCCACUUCCUGCAUCCACAAGUCUCAAGUUCCAGGUUGACAGCAUGUGUUUGCUGCCCAUUUGUAACUUGCCAUAAGUUGACCCCUGCCUGUAUUGGCUUGCAAUAUCUGGCCCUCUCCUUCUCAACCUCUAGCUUCUCACUGUAAUGAGGUGUUAUAUCCCAUCUUGCUGCCUUUACACUCUCUCUGUUCCUAUGCCACCUCACCAUCUGCUUAUCUUUAAUCCCAUCACACAUUGUCCUUACAGGUUUUCUCCUAACAUCUAGAAUGUACUUGUUGAACACCUCAGACAAGUUGUUCACUACCAAGUCAGUCUUGCAGUUUGUGUCAAAUGCAUGCCUUGCCCAUGUUUUUUUUGGUAUUGCAGUAAGCCACUCCCAAGCUUCCUCACUUUCAGAUCUAAGAUCAUUCAUUGCAAUAUUAAAUUUGUGUUCAUUGUAGGCAUAGCUAGAAUUAUCCAUGCACUUCUUAAGAUCUUCACCCCUAAACCCAACAUUUUGGAAAUUUGCAUAUAAAUGCCUAAGGCAGAAUCUUUGGUUGCAAUUUGGAAAGACAGCAUUCACUGCAUUCAAUAACCCCUGACACAAACAAUUUAACAAGUCUAAGCUACAAGGUAAAUAAAUAUGCACCAAUGAAACCCUUAGCUACUUUUAACACUUGUGCAAAACAAAAUGAAAUGUGCAAACACAUACCUUUUGUCUAUCUGACAUUAUAGUAUAAGGUCCAAACUUGCCCACUUCUCCACCUAGGCAAAUUUUCAGUUGGUGUAGAAACCAACACCAACUAGGUGUGUACUCUUGUCCAACUAUGCCAAAUGCCAGUGGAUAUAUGUUGUUGUUGCCAUCUCUAUCAGUGGCAGCAAGGAGUUGAGCUCCUGUAGUGAGCUUAAUGAAGCAUCCAUCAACACCUGCAUAAUCAACAUUUCCACACAUUAAAUACAUUCAAGUGAUAUACAAUAUGGAGUACUCUACAAUAUGUAAAUGGUGCACAAGGUUCAGGAACUAACCAAUGAAUGGCCUACACCCAUUGAGAAACCCCUCCCUUGCUCCAUUCAGGCAAAAGAACAUGGCAUGGAAUCUUGGGCCUGGGUGGGGUAUUUUUGCAUUUGGUACUGGAGUAACAGUAGUGACUAUUACUCUACUCCCAGGGUUUGUAUCCAUGACAGUCUGAGCAUAGUCUUUAAGCCUAGGAUAUUGCUUCUUGUGAUCUCCUAAGACAGCUUCAAUAGCUAUGUUCUUUGCCCUAUAUGCCAUGCACUUGGGCACAUCUACACCAUAUUUUUCCAUGCAUGCAUCAAUUAUUGUCUGAAUACCAGUAGUUAUAUCAGAUCUGAAGAGAUGCUCAUAUUUCUGUGCUAGCCACUUAGCACUAACCCUGGUGGUCUCAGUGGUACUAGGGCAAGUGUGCUCUAGUCUCAUCUUCUUAAUUACAAAGGUUUUCUCCCCUUUUAUAACUGCUGCCACCAUAAAGAACUGGCAUUGUUUAUCUGGACACUGAACAAUUAUCCUCUGAUCUGAAUUCCUGUGAUACUUAAAAUUCCUGGCCUGAGUGAUGUGCAAAUUCAACAAAGCAUCUCUGAAUUGAUGUUGAUCCCUAAAACACAACUUCAUACACAGUUGCUCAUGUGGUUGCUCCAUUUUCUCAUUGUACCACUUCCUAGCAGGCCUUUUCUUUGCCCUACUCUUACUUUUCUUUGGUAGGACAAAAGAGGCUGGCUCAAAACCAUCAUCAUCACUCUCCGUCAGCAACCCCUUCUCUUCUUCAUCUGACGAGGAUGGUCUGAAAUCAGGUUCAACCUCUGGUAGCUUACUAGAAUGUGACCUAGUUGUUGGUCCUCUUUUAACUGGUAGCUUCUGCUUCUUCUUCACAGGUUCAACUAUAGUUUCUUCUUCUUCUUCAAAAGUCCUAUCUUCCUCUACCUCAAAUGGUUCCUCAACUUCAGUGUCACCCUCAUAAUGCAGCAUUUCUUCCUCUUCUGAUUGCUCAUCAUCUGAUUCUUCCUCUUGUACUUCUAGCUCUCUCUGUCUCUUUCCCUCUUCCACCUCUACAUCUUCAUCAUCACCCAUGUAAUGAUGGUCAUUUCCAAUUUGAGCAUCCUCAUCAGAGGCAUUAGCAUCACUGUCCUCAUAUGCCUCAAAUCCUUGAUAUCCCUCUUCUUCUUCUUCCAAAACUGCUUUCAACUUGGCUGUUCCAUUCUUGCUUUCUUGUGUGCAAACACCAGCAGGAUGAGGUGUGCUAGAGUUGCUACAUUGACUCUCAAAAACUACUCCUUGCUGAUCAACAGCUAAGAUAGGAGGCUCACUCAGAUCGAAAACAACAGGCUCUUGGUACACCACAGUGGACAACUCUGGCAUUUGACAUUGCUGCAACUCAAAUUCAGUAACAGGGGGUGGGCAAGCCCUGACUAGCAAAUCAAGCACCAAUUUGUCCUGGAUCUUCCUCUUUAUCUUCUGUAAUUCUGCAUGACUGUCUACCAAAUCCAGCCCUUUCUCUCCUAAAGAUGGAUUUUCAAUGUGAAACAAACAAUCAUAUGCAUUAAAUCCUUGGGUUUUCAUCACUGCAACCAAAUUCAAAUAAGUAAUAUCUGAACCACACAGCUUCAUCUCCAAUGGUUCUCUUGCAUCAAAAUGGAUCCUUACUUGCCAAAUGUCUUCAUCCAAACUACAGAACAAAUUAAAUUUCAUGUAUUCAUUAUAAUUACUCUUAAUUUGGAGAGCAACUGUACAGUACAGAACAAUUUAGAGUAACCUGUAAGUCUAAUAUUUACUAUUAACUCUACUAUUACAGAUGCUAUUUCAGCACAGAACAAUGCUACUAAAGUAACCUGUAAGUCUAAUAUUUACAGUACAGAACAAUGUACUUUACUAUUUCAGCACAAUAGCAAAAUCAAGGAAAAAGACAAGGUCAUAAUCCCAAAUUGUUACUGUAAUUGAACUAAUUUGAGAGUGCAAUACACUGAGUUACUAGUUACUGUAAUUGUCCUAUACUAGUCACUACAAUUGGACAAACCCUAAUCCCCAACUCGAUAAACAAAAAGAUGAACAAACCCUAAAAAUCCCCAAUUGGAUAAACCAGAGCAGGGGGAGGACAAGGGUACUUACAGCACGCCGCCAAGUCCAUGCGUCAACUCAUGGCUGCUGCUAGGGUUCGCCACCCACUGCUGCGCCAACCGCAACCGCUGCUCCAUGCUGAGUAACAUCGACUCCUCCUCGUCGUCGGUCGAGUACGCGGAGCUGGAGUCGUCGCCGCCAUCGCCGUCGACGCCAGCCGUUCUGCUAGGAGGCCAGAAUGGCAUCUCACCGCCGCCGUGGAUGCCCUCGCCGCCGCCUGCCGGAGUCGCCGACGCCAUAGACUAGGGUUCGAGCGAGUGAGGAGAGGAGGUGCGGCGGGGGCGAGCUGGUGCGACCGGACCGGGUUCGAACCGGCUCGUCCUAGUCAGCGCGCGGGCACGCGCCGAUUGGCCAGCGUGGCACCUGACGGGUGGGCCCGAGCUGUCGGAUCGAGCGUCAAUACGUAUAAAUACGCGUUUUAGCCUUAUUUGAAAAAACCUGAAGCAAUCAUGGUACUGACAUGCAAAGAUUAGUAAUCGUGGUACCAAUCUGCAUGUGAUGUCCGAAUUGUGGUACUUCUGUGCAAUUAACUCCUCUGAUAGCCACAUUCAGGGCCUUUUUGAUUCGCAGGAUUGUCAAAAUAAAGGAAUAGAAAAAAUGCAGGAAUAGGAUGACAUGUCCCAUAGUAUCCUACAUGAUUUGAAAGAUUAUUUGAUAGCGCGGGAAAAACAAAGGAAUUCUACAAAGAGGUUUGAGUAGAUGGAAAAUUCCUCUAAAAUGUAGUAUAAAUGGAUCCUAUGGAAAAAUUCCUAAGGAUGCCAAUCCUACGAAUCAAACGAGCAUCGCAGGAAAAAUUCCUAAGGGUUCAAAUCCCCCAAAAAUCCUAUGUAAUUUAUUUGAAUCAAAGGAGCCCUCAGAUAAUCAGAUCUGUGCGUGGAAACCUGGCAUUCUCCAGAGGCUCGGAAGUAACGUGGAGUCCAGCAUUAUGCAGUGGCGUCGUCCUUGGCUUGCACGCCAUGUCAAUGGCAUGAGCAGCGUCGGCAAUCAUUUCGUCCAGAUCCAACGUCUCUGCCUGGCCCCAACCAUGGCAGAGAUCAAAAUGCAGGGGACAAUUUGUCCUCAGUUACGGAAAUCAGGGCGGGCACCAGUCCCGUCUGAAAUAAGAUAAUUGUGUCCGUCUAUGCUCCAUGCGAGAAUUCUGUAGUAGUAUUUGUAGUAGGUUAGGUUAAUUGGACUAUAUCCCUUCGCUACAUCUCUAUAUACGGUUGCACUGCCUAGACCCCAUCUCUGCAUGCAUGAUUGGGGUAACAAACAGGCAUAUCUGCAUGCUACGUACAACUAACCAGUGGAUCAUCAUCACGACAGUCAAUGGAUAUGCAUGAAUCGAACGUCCGGCAGCCGAAGAUCGGCCGAAGGGCCAGCGCGGCGGCCAAAGAGCGGCUCCUCGGAGGCAGAGAGGCCGAAAACAGUGCCCCUUUCAGGGACCAAAAGAUAUGCCAGGACGCGACUAUGUCCAUGCUCGGGAUCGUUGGGUUCAGGACAGCGAAAUCCGCCAUCAAUUUAGAGCAUUCUCGAAAGAAAACAAUCAAAUGCAGUGCUGUGUACGUAUUACGCUUCUGUGUGGGGCUGAAACCAUUUUGUGGGUGAUGUGGGGCCGUGGUCUCGGAUAAAUAUCCGAGCUCGUCACUCGAUCUUAGCAUCUAGAUUCUAGAGUACCUGUUGCCGCUUGAAUCGUGUCCUCGUGUGCACGAAAUGUACUUGAUUUGGACGUUAGCUACGUCGACAAUGAUCAUGUGACUCCACGCACUAGUGGCGAGAAUAAUCUAACCCAGCCUCCAAGAGAAGACCUUAUCCAUCUGCAUGUUUUUCCACCUAGACGCCGAAGAGGUGAACACAUUUGUUCUUGUGUAAAAAAGGAAAAGAAAAUGGAAGCUUGUGCCCAGCGGCCGAUGCCGAUAGGCGAUGGCUACUUGAUUCCUUGUCGAACGCUAGAGUUACCUUACCUGUGGGGCCAGAGGCUCCCAACUGGCACCGAGUUUGGGCCCGGGCAGGAUGGAUGCCGACACGACAUGUCCCGGCCCAAUCCAGUCUGCUUUAGUUUAACACCACACACCAGCAUUCUGCUUUUAGUUUUGGUACAGUCCACAUACUACUUUCUUCUUUUGGUUCGAGUUGUGAUUGUGAACAGAAGCAUCUACAGAAUCGGACGUGUACCAGCGCUUCCACAGAAUUAACAGCGCCGCAGAACUGGCUGGAGUACCUACCUUUGUACGUAUUCUGUGGACGCCAUCUGGACAUGUAAUGUAAUCUCUCAGAAGACAUACGCGGCGGCUCAUUGUGAAGUUACAGCAACGACCGGUGCGCCACGCGCGGAGGACAUGUGUCCAUCCGCCGCUGGGCCGUUCGUCGCGACACCUCAACGACUGUAGUCACGCUGGUUCAAUUCGCCGCGGACAAUGUCAGCCGGCCGCACUGUCAUGAGCUGUGACAUGGCAGUACGUGGGCACUGUAGAACUGAGUCCAUUCCCUUCCACGAUAAAACAUCCCUCGAUCGCCAUCGCCGGCCAUUAUUAGUUUCUCCAACUCCAAGCCAAGCCAGUGCUCUUCGCUCUGGAAUCCUAGUUAAUGGCCGGCCGGUCAGGUACGUGGUAACUAACCACCAGCUAGCCAGCAGCGCCACCUCGAGAGCGUCGCCAUGGCAGGGGCAGAGGGGCCGGCCGUGUAGCGGGCAGCGCGCGGCGGCUGGAAGAGUUAUCUGGAGGUCGAUCGGCGAUGGUGGUGCACGUGGUGCUCCUGGCCGUGCCGGCGGUCGGCGGGUUCAUGCAGGCGUUCAAGUUCUCGGUCCUGCUCUGGCCGUUCAACAUCACGCUGCCGCUGCUCCGCCACCUGCCGCGCGUCUGCCUCACGCUCAUGGCCGCCGCGGCGCACUACGACGCCGAGCUGCGCGCGUACCUCACCGGCCGCCGGACGGUGCCGCUGCCGGAGCCGAGGUACUCCACCCUCCGCGGCGCGCAGAGGCGCACGCGUGAGCAGCUCGCCGCGCACGCCAUGAUCGCCCUCGUCGACAUCUCCUACUGAUGUCGCGUAGCCAACAGCUGCUUAAUUCUGGCGGUGCUCUUCUUGGUUUGAUAGGUUGGUUCAGAGCUUUUUUUUGGCGGUGCUCUUCUUGCUCGUAUAGGUUAGUUAUAAGAAUUUCAAUUGGAUCAUGCACAUAGCCACAUGGGUCUUCCAUUUCUCUUUGCCUGCACUCGUCGGCUGCGUUCAUGAAUUUGUUGUGAUCUGUACUCAUUUAUGAAAUGCAAAGGAGCUUAAAUCAGGACAUAGCCGGGUUCAUAUUGUUUUUUGAAACAGUUGCACCGAUCUUAUUCCUUGUGAAAGAUGGUUGGAAUAGGAAAGAAUCCAACCACAAGGUCCACAAGACUACAAAUAAAAAACAUUGGAAACAUAUACACUAUAGCUCCGGGAUAUGAUUUGCACAGAGCAAAAGAAAAAGAAAGCACAUUCAAGGACCAUCGUCCGAACAUGUUUCACAUUUGCCGAGUCCAUUUUGAAUCCUGAUCUUGCUGAAUCCUUCACCUGCAUGGGAAAAUAAAUGCAGAUAAAUACAUGUGUGGACAUUGUAUAUCUUCUCCAUGGAAGGAGCAUAGCUCACAGUUUGAGGUCAUAUGUUAAACUUCGGUAGUUUGUACUACCAAGGUUGUACUAAAGCAACCUCAAUUAAUAUGGAUCAGGGGGAGUAAAAUUGUUUGACGUCAUAUGUGAAAGUACUUUGUGGAUUUUGUGGAAGUUUGGGAACCCUUAUUCAUUUUUACUCAGAUAUGAGAUGUUGAAAUAAAUGAGGAGCUAGUUAAGAAAUGUCAAUCCUCAUUAUUUGGGUAAUUCCAAUGGAACAUCGAGGCUUUUUAAAAAAUCGUUUGCAUACAUAAAGCUGCUAAGAAGAAGAAAGUCAAGUUUUUGGUCAUACAUAUUUUUUAUAUUUAAGCUGUGUACUUAAGAUCAUGAAGAGAUAUCAACCGCAAAAAAAGAAGAUCAUGAAGAGAUAUUUGGUCCGUCUACACUGUUCAAUAUGCCCGGUGUUCAAUAUGCCUUCCUACACUGAGGCAGUGAGUGAGACCCAAGCAGCCCAAUGCUUGUUUAUCAAGAAAAGCAACCCAACAUGGAUCACGACAAUGCAAAAGCACAUAAAAAGAAAAGAGAUAAAAUUGAUACCUAACUAUGAUAUAUAAUCAAUGAUUGCUUUUUUUAAGAUGACAUGGUCUCGGCAAAUGUGAAGAAUUCAACAUGGACUAGGUCGCGGGCUCGCUCACUCUCCAUAGAGAGCAAAUAUCCGCCAAGACACUUCUCUUUCUCAGUUGACGUCUCCUUACCCUCCAUUCUUCCUUCUACUUAUUCUUACCUCCAGAUGAGUUGUCGGCAUUGUCAAUUCUUCUUCUUUGUAACGCCUUCCUCCUCUUCUUACACCUCAUGCUUCUUCAAUCUGCCAUCAACCUAAGAUCCGGGGGGCAUCGCUGUUCCCCGUGUGAUGGCUAGUGAGUUCUUCCCCUCACCUCUUUAUACAUUAUCUUUGAGGGUAAUGUUAGCUUCAUUCAUUCAUUCAGUAUGCUUAAGAACAUUCAUAUGAUAUCAUGGGGAGUACAAGCCAGACAUGCGAGACUGCGGGGAUAAGGAUAUAGCUACCAUGGGACAUUACUUCCAUGUAGGCAAUUGUCUAUAAAGAUAAUAGAUCGAUAAUAUCUCUGGGAUGAAGCAGGAUAACCAUAGGGUAAUGAUUGAUCGUUGCAAGCUCAUAUCAUUCACCCUUCCUAGUUCUGGACUUCUAGUCCUCCAGUUCCCCAGAUUGGAUAACCCAGAUGCAUUUACAUUGUUCGGUGGGGGAGUGAACUGCCAAAUGCCCAACUCUAACAAGGUCACCAAAUUCACAUUUGAGUACAAGCACUAAAAGAUCUCCCUCCCCUUAUUUCUUUGCGCACUUCAACCAAGUCACCAGAUCUCACUCACCAAAUCCUGCUUACCCAUGUUUGAUUGAUUUUCUAUGAUUACCAAGCAACAUAAAAUGUUUUUUACUUUUAUAAUGUUUUGACUUUCCACAUUUAAAUUAUCUCCCGCCGAGUUUUUUGUAAAUUUAGUAAGCAAUGAAAUAUUCUAUACGUCAAAGAUUUGGAAUAGAUUCAGACUAAUUUCAAAUCAAAUUUAAAUAUUGUAAAAAAACUAGUGAUUUCUGACUAAAUAAUUCCAAUUGUUGUUUUUCAAAAUUUACAAAUUACCUGCAAUUUUGAGGGUACAAACAUAAAAUUGCUCCUUGGAAUUUUAUUUGGUCAAAACUAAAUAAAUAAAUUUGAAUUUGGGCCAUCUUUUUGGUAGAAAAAGAGAUUUGCCUACCAUGUGUUUUCUUCAGCUUGUUUGACUCUUUUGUUAGACGGCGGUUUUUUCUUUGAGCUAUCGCUAGAGCAUGCUUUGACCGUGUAUCUAUCACGGGUUUUUAGGGGUGCGAAUCUAUCGUAUGAAAUUGUUCUAACAAACAUUGAAGUUACAUUAAAAUAUUAUAUCUAUGAAAUCUAGCCUAAGUACCAGAAGGUUGGACCGAGAUUCCGCCUCACUCGUCAAUAUGAAUGCACGACCCAUUUUGCGCGGGCACGGGGCGUACAUAUACGUUGGUUCCUACCGCGUAACCUCCCCGCGCCCCAUCCUUUGUAUGGCCCGCCCCACUCUGGUUUUUUCCACCGGUCCUGGGAAGCACUAGGACCUUCUCUGAACCCGUUUCUUUGUUUUUUCUUCUAUGUCCAAAUUUGCAAAAAAAAUCAUAGAUUCGUGAAAAUAUUUAAUUAAUAAACCUUUUUAUUACUUAAAUAUUUUAUAAAAUUACAUUUUUUGAAUUCAUGAACUUUUUUUGAAUGUUAGGAAUUUUAUUGAAAUUUUCAAUGUUUUUAUAUUUCUAAGGAAAACAUUCUUUUGAAAUGCAUGGACAUAUUUUAGAAAUCAUGACCAAUUUUUGAAUUGAUGAACUCUUUGGAAAUAUGAGAAUUUUUAUUAAAAUGACUAUUUUUGAAAUUUGGGAACAAUUUUAUAAAUCAUGAAGAUUUUGAAAAAUAAUCAAGAACUUUUUUUGGAAUUGAAACUUUUUUGCAUUCACAAACAUUUUUCAACUUCGCGAACUUAUUUUCAAAAUCGUGAAAAUUAAGGCAUAUGUGAACAUUGUUUUCAAAACCAUGAGCAUUUUUUGAAUCCACAAAAUUUCCAUGUUUUCCCGAACAUUUGUAUGAAUAUUUUUUGAAUUUACAAACAUUGUUUUAAAAAUAUGCCUAUUCUUUGAAACUGAAAACCUUUCUGUAAUACUGAUUUAUUUUAAUGAAAAAAACAUUGACACAAAAAACAAAAGAAAAAACAAGAUAAAAAAACACGGGCGUCCUGCCCCGCGCAUGGGCCGGCCCAAAAACAUGUGUGGGGGCAGCAGGAUCGUCCUCCUUAUUUGAUGGUAAAUCCUAUUACGUGCCUAUAGCGCCGUGGAGGCCAACUAGCGCUCACUGCAGCGCCGAGUUGGACCGGCCCAUGACUGCACAACACAGCAAACCUACAACACAAUUUUUUUUUUGAAAAAGUUGCGCUCUCAAGGAUUUACACUCACACCGUUGUGUUAUCACACGAGCUCCGCUAAAACUACAACUACUCAACUGUAGAGAAUGUGAAUAGCGCCAACUAUAUAAAAACAAGUGCGGCCGCGAUAUGUAUUGUACUCACACCGAUUCUAAAUAAAAGUCGUUGGAGUGAUUUUCCGACCAGGUGAAAAACUAAGGAAAUUACAUCAACACCCUCACUUAAUUUGAAUCGGCCAUCUCCAAAUCGUCUUCCACCUUCGCUCCCCACACUCCGCCUAGCCUUGACCUCCGUCGCCGUGCUCCUCCGCCCCCACCUUUGCAGCCCUGCUCCUCUGGCCUCACUCCCGUGAGAUGCCAUGGGAGUGGGAAUGAGAUGCGGGUGACAGUGGGAACGAGAUGCCGCGAGAGUGAUGUGACAAGGAGAGGGAGAGGGCGGCGACGGGGAGAGCAAAAGGGGGGCGACGAGGAGAGGGACUGGCAAGAGACGAGGAGAGGGACUGGCAAGAGACGAGGAGAGGGAGUGGCUGACUGAUCUGGAUGUAGAGAGAGAGAGAUUUGGAGUGGAUGUAGAGAGUGAGUGGGCUGCAGGAACGAGUGGUGGUGGACGAGGGUGAUUUUGAAAAGUGGAGAAUUUUGUAAUGUAACAGAAUUUGCACUGAGAAACCUAAAGGACAUAUAUUUAGGUAUAGAGGGAGUACAAUAUACUCCACUAUAACACUUCUAUUUUUUAAUUAUUUGGAGAAAAACGUGAAUUUGAAAAGGUUCAUCGAUUUUUCAAAAGUUCAUCAUUUUUUAGAAAAGUUCACUAACUUGAAAAAAGUUCAUCAAUCUUGACAAAACUUUCAUCGAAUUUGAAAAAAAAGGUUCAUCGAGUUUGAAAAAAAAUUCACAAAUUUGAGUAAAAAAUCUCAUCAAAUUUGAAGAAAAGUUCAUUCAUUUUUUAAAAUAGUUCAUCAAAUUUGAAAAAAAAACAUUGAUUUUUUUAAAAAAAUUAUGGAAUUUGAAAAUACUUCAUUGGAUUCCCUUAAAAGAAUUAUCCAAUUUGAAAAUAUUCGUUGAAUUAAAAAAAACACUGAAUAUGAAAAAAUUCGUCAAAAUUGAGAAAAAACAAUUCAUCAAUUUGAAGAAAUUUUUACGAAUUUUAAAACAUUCAUCGAAUCAAGAAACAAAAAGAAAAAAUGGAAACGGAAAAAGGAAAAAAGAAAGUGUAAAGAAAAUGAUUCAAGGUUGUGUUGUGGUUAGUGUUGCCUGAUCUGGAUGCAGUACCGACGCCCGAAGCGUCAAAUAGGAAUUGCCUUAUUUGACGUGCAGGUCGCCAAAUCGGAGGUCCCUUAUCCUCCGACCCGGCCCAGGCGCUAAAUAGGAGCACUCCGCUAGGCUGGACUAAAAGCUCGUAGCUUGCGAGCUUAACGAGCGCUUGAUAGUUUAGCUCAUUAAGCUCGUAGCUCGCUUUUUAAUGAACAGAGCUAAUUAUUAAUUUCAGCUCGCUAUGCUUAACGAACGAGCUAACGAGUUUCACGAAUAGCUCGUUAAGCUCGUUAGUAACAACACAAUACAUAUUUCUAUCUUACGUGACAAAGUUUUUGUAGCACUUCAUCUCAUCUAUUCAAUCUAAUCAAUAUAGAAGGUAACAAAUUAGUGCAUUUAUUUGUGUAGUCACCAUAUUUCAUCGUAAAACAACACCAACACACUCGUCAUGUAAAACGUAGCACAUUAUAAUUUGUUAACAAGCGCUCAUGAGUUUAACGAGAUUCAAACAAACUAAGCCGAGCAAGGUUUUCUGCUCGUUAAUUUUAAUGAGCUUAACGAGCCAAGCCUUAAAAAGCACGAACUUAACGAGUACGAGCUUAACGAGCCAAGCAGCUCGUUAAUCCAGCCGUUGAAAGGCCCGGCUGAAUAUCCACCGAAAGGGCGAGCCAAAAGCAAAAGAGCGACUUCUCAAACCCUGGAAGGCCGAACAGAAUGUCUCCUUCAGGGGGAAAUAAAUAUGCUGGGAAACGACCACGUGACCAAGUGCAUGCUCCCUAUCGUACGUAGCUCAAGGAUGGCGAAGUCUACAACUAAUACAUGUCGAGUUCAUCUUUAUAAUAUGUUGAUUGAUGCUUCCCGGACUGAAAUCUCGGAUAAGACUGGUCAAUCGAUCUUAGCACCAUCUUUAUGGUGGUAUUCGUCGUUGCUCGACUUGUCCACCUAUGCACGCAAAAUGCACCUGAUUUGGACCUAGAACAAACAUCAUCAUGUCAGACAACCGAAUCUAACUUGUGAGAGAGGAAAAUAAUGGAUACGUAGCCACGUGAGUCUUGAUGCAUUCCCUAGCUGAACACCAGAGUUAUUUCGAGGACAGAGUAUGUUACAUAUAAAUAUUUUUCAGGAUUCCUUUCGAGUUCUAACUCUAUACUACGCGACCUAGCGAGCCGUCGCCUCCCAAAAAGCUAGGGUUCUCUGCCUCCCACAGGCGCCGGCGCCGGUCCGUCCCGUCUCCGGUGGCCUUAGGGCCAUGGGGGUGGAGUGAAUCUCGGCCCUUGCCGGUGAGAGGGCUCUGUUUUUAGAUUUUUUUUUUAGCUUUGUCAGGGUUUGUGUCUUGCUGAGGAAGGCGAGACGAGGACGGCUCCCUGAAGAUGGAAUAAAAGUCUCCCCGCCUAGUCCCCGUUCCGGUGAUGCAUCUAGCAUCGUCGGUAGGCGUAUGGAGGUGUGUCUCCGGCGGAUCUGUAUUUGGUGGAUUUGCUUGGAUCUGUUUGUCAUUCGUCUUCGUUCGUGUGUCUUCAGGUUGGAUCCUUUUGAUCUACACUCCGUGGCGGUUGCUAUUCUGGUGCGUUGGUUCUAUGUGGCCCUAGCACGACGACUACUACAACAAGGUUUGCCCGGCUCCGGUGAGGGAGGGGUGAUGACAGCGGCGUGCCUUCGGCUCGAUUUAGUGCUUGUAGUCGUCGCUAGGUGGUCUACGGAUCUGGAUGCAAUUUUUAUUAUUUCUAGUGUUCGUUGUACUAUCAUGAUUAAAGAUAGAUUGAAAGUUUUUCUGAAAAUAAAUAUAAAUAUUUUUCAGAACAGAGGCUCAAGCUGCUCAACUCGAUCACACUUGGGAUUGGGGACGAGACUUGCCUGCUCCCUUCCCAUGCUCCCAUCCGUGCUCCUGCAUACGUGGCUUUAUUUGAUUGGAAAAAAAUAAGGUCUGGCCCCACCCCCUGAAAAUCAGGGGGGGGGGGAGAUGAUUAGAUUAGAAAAGAAAAAGGAAAAAGAACAGCCGUAGGAUGAAGUGGGAGCGGCAGUCAAGCCGGAUCCGGGAUUGGGCCCCGGUGCAUGCCGACAUGUCCAAGCCAAUCAUUCUGCCGUGUACCCGAGAGAAAAAAUGAUUCUGCCUACAUAGCGUUCCUGCAGUUCCGAUUUUUCCGUCAUUUUUGGAAGAGUGGUACGUCUUCAAUCCACAAAGAUUUAAUCGGCACUACGUACAGAAAUCGCUGUGAAGAACUUUCCAAACCACGAGCUACGUCUACGCCACGUCUGUAUUCAGUGGACACGAUCAGAUCAGCUGCACGUAGGAUUGGACUGUCGACAUGUAAUGGCAGUACGUACUCCGUCAGAAAUACUGUAGGAAAUACGCGUAUCGACAUGAAGUUGAUUGGAAGUGGGCCGCACUCGCAAUCGCAGCACAGUGAACUCCAUCGAUAAGCGCCAGCGACGGCCGGUGCCCCACGCAGGAAAUGUCGAUCGAUCGACAUCGGACAGCCGCUGACCCAUCGCGACUUCUGACGCCCAAGUGUCUCCAUAAACGCACGCUAAAGCAACAACAGUAGAGCGGGGUAGUAAGAAGCCUAACCAUUGUCAUAUGAUCAUCACUAAUCAAUUUCCUCUCAAAUAUAGCAGCAAUGCCAUCAGCCUCCACCACCGCCGGAUGACCACAAUCUAUAUCCAUAUUGGCCCCUCACUAUUUCAGUCAAUUAAGAGUGGAUCAUCACUAAUCAAUUCCCCUUGUACGCGAUGAGGCAAAAAAGACCGACUCAACGGGUUUUCUUUUUGCCAUGGCAGCAUUAGUUAGAAUUUAAAACGUGUCGUCCACUUUCUAAAAAUGUACAUAACAGAUAACUUUAUGUAAUCCGACAUUGCCCUAUGUGGGUAGGGGCAGUGGCGUGUGCUAAGGAAGGACGAGGAGGUUGUGUGGUCACAAACUAUAGAGUCCAAGAAAAAGGAAGCUAUUCCCUUUACCAAGCAGAUUCGACCCUUCCCGUCCCAUUCAUAUAAUGUGUUGUAAUGCUUAAAUUUUUUAAGUAAUAAAAACACCCCUUUUCGAAAAUCCAUAUAACGUGUUGUGCACAUCGAUCAUUCCACUCGAUUCCAACCCGUCUUAGGGCAUCUGGGUCGGCAUCGAUAUGUUAUUGUUUUCACGGAUCAUGCGGCGUGUGGACCGAUUAUCGUGAGUAUGCAUGUGUGUACCCGAAUACACUAGCAGGUUUGUGCCAACACUUCCUCUGGAUACAAUCAACGAUCUUGCUAAAGUUAGCCAUCUAUCACUAUUGUGCCGAGUAAUUAGGCGAUGGAUAGAAGGUGGACCGAUGUAUAUAGUGUAAUUUUCUAAUAACGAUCAAUAUUCGGAUGAGAUUUGACAUCAUAUCUACAAUUUUGUUAUGGUCGAUGCAAGAUGAUUCAAUGUCGUGAUGCCGUGUGGUCGAUCAUCCUACCGAGGUGGGGUCAUCGUGGUGGGUUGGGGUGAGGCUUAUAGAUAUGAAAAAUACAUAGAUAUAGGAGUCUAAUUCUCUUUUCUAUUUAGGACUUCAAUAGUUGGCGAACGUUUGUCACGGAACAACAUUUGUGAAUAAAUUUCAUGACAAUUUUAAUGAUAGGGGGUUACAAUUUCUUUAGACUAGCAUGACAAUUGCUUCUUAGAGAAGGCAUUUUUCUAAGAAAAAGUGCCAUCGCUUGAUGUCGAUCAAACGGCUGCGAGGGCAUUCGCUGGAAGUUCCUUCCUAGUGAACAUUCGCCGGUCAGCAUUACCGUCCUAUUAUUUAUUUGGAUCUCCGGAGAAGCUGCAUGUGUAUAAUUAGGUAAUCUUACCCCUGAACUCUGAGUGUGUACCUAUAGGAAUGCACCAUAGGCCUUUUCUUUAGACAAAACAAACUGAGGGACAGUCUCAACUUGCACUCCUUUCCGACCCACUGUAUGCCGACAUGUCAAGCCAAUCAUUCUGCGUAUGCACGCCAACAGAAACAUUCUGCUUUUACCAUCCAUACAGAUACACUCCAACUCCAGAUGCGUAAACGAAACUUCGUCGCUGCUUUACCCUGGACAGGUGCCAGCGACGGCCGGUGUCCCACAGAGCAAGAAAAUGUAGAUCGAUCGAGAUCGAACGGGCGCUGGCCCAUGGCUAGAAUCUCGUGACGCCCCAGCUCUCGAUAAUUCCAUUCGCGGCAAGCAUACACAAGGGCACAAGGCGUGCGGUAAGCAACAACAAUCUCUUCAGCAACUCCAGCGAGCAGCGACUUGCGUAGCAGUACGCGUCCACGAUCGAGAGCGUCCAUAUAAUUGAGUCGAUUCCUUCUCAUUAUGAAACAUCUCUCGAUCGCCAUCGCCAGCCAUUAUUAAUCCGCCCACCCGACAUGCCCCUACAUAGUUAAUGGUCGGUCAGUCAGGCCCGUGGUAUUGGUAACCACCAGCAGCUGCAGCGCCACCUCAAGAAACGUUGCCAUGGCAGAGGCAGAGGCGGAGGGGUCGGCCAUGUAGUGGAGCGGCACCGGCCGACCGGCGGAGGCGGAAGAGUUGUCUGGGGAUCGACCGAUGGUGGUGCACGUGGUGCUGCUCGCCGCGCCGGCGGUCGGCGGGUUCCUCCUGCACGCGUUCAAGUUCUCCAUCCUGCUGUGGCCGUUCAACCUCACGCUGCCGCUGCUGCGCGACCUGCCGCGCGUCUGCGCCACGCUCCGGGGGGCUGCGUCGCUCUACGCCGCCGAGCUGCGCGCGUCCCUCGCCGGCCGCCGGCGGAGGGCGCCGGCGCCGCAGCUCGACCGCCAGUACUUCUCCCUCCGCGGCGUGCGGAGACGGCCGGCGGAACGGCUCGUCGACCACGCCAUGCUAGCCCUCGUUGACAUCUCCUACUGAUGCCGCUGCGUUGCCAAGGUGGUUGCAUGCCGGAGCUGUUUAAUUCCGGCGGUGCUCGGUUUGGAUGGAAACGUUGGUUCAGAAUUUUCUUUGGAUCAUGUACAUAGGCGUUCCAUUUUUUUAUUAUCUUUUUUCCUGCAUUUGUCGGCUGCACUUGUUGUAACUAGUCCAAUGUCCUGCGUAAUUACACCGGAUCUUUUUUGCUAUCUUCAGUAUUACUCCCCGUCUCAAAAUAAGCGACUCAAUUUUGUACUAGCUUUAGUAUAAAAUUAGUACAAAAUCGAGUCAUUUAUUUUGAAACGGAGGAAGUAUAUUAGAUUAUCAAGUGAGUGUUAAUAACAAUGCUAUUUGCAUGAAUAUAAUAGUACUGAUAUAUUGAUGUGGUGAUGAACUAAUGAUUGCCUUACUUAACUAUAGUAUGGAGGUUCCACUCAAAAAAAAUAGUAUGGAGGUUCCCAAAAAAAAACUAUGGAAGUUCUUCCUUCUCAAAGAGAGAUCAUUUACAUAAAUAUAUUCCCAUUUGUUGGAACAACCUUACUUUAAAAAUCAGGUAUAGCUAGAUCUCAGCCAACUGAGACUUAACGCGGUCGACUUAAUGUAGUCUUAGUCAAGUGACAAAACAUAUAGAAAAGAUGAAAGAAAGAAAAUAUUACACUAAUCUUCAUGUAUGAUCGCACAAAUCGGCCGAGACUUUGUUAAGUAUCAGUCGACUGAGGUUUAGCAAUCCUGUUAAAACACUCGCAUAGAUGUGAGAUAAUGUCGGAAGGCGAGCUAUCUAAAAACUGUUAAACCUUGUUACUUCGAUAACCCUUAAUGGAGGAUUGGGGCAGCUGUUGAUAUAUAUUUUUGGCCAAUAAGACAAAUCCGUGUAUUCAGCGGACGCAUUCAGCUGCACCUUCGACUUGCCGACGACACGUAUGUAACCACAGGAAUCCGUCUAAAAUACGCGGCGGCAGAGCUCAGCCCGAAGUUGGUUGGGAGUGGGCCGCAUGGCUGACGAAAAAUUAUGACCGCGACAACGAUCUGCCUCGCACAUGGCAGCACGCCAGCACCGUCCUCACUGCCUACACGGAUAAUUGCCGGUGACGACCGGCCGGUGGCGGUGCCCCACCACAGGGGUAAUGUCGUAUCGAUCGAUCGAGAUAUGGCGAGAAUAUUUCGACGCCCCAACUGCCAAGUCUUACGCCAAAUCCAUUCGUGGCGACCGGCGAGACAUACGCUAAGCAACAACAACGUCGCCGGCCGCAUGCCCUGAGAAGCACCUGAGCUGUCCAGCAGUAUUUGUCCACGAUCGAGAGCGUCCAUAUAUGCAACUUAUUCGAUUCCGCAGAAUCUUUCUCGAUCGUCGCCAUCGCUCGCCGGCCGGUCGGUCGAUCGAUCAGGUCCGCGGCAGCCACCGGCAGCAGCAACACCACCUCAAGAACGUCGGUACGCACAGGCAGAGGCAGAGGGACCGGCCGGCCAUGUAGGAGCAGCACCACGACGGCGGCGGCGACUGGCGGUGGUGGAAGAGUUGUUGUGGGGAUCGACGAUGGCGGUGCACGUGCUGCUCCUCGCCGGGCCUGCGGUCGUCGGCGGGUUCCUGCACGCGUUCAAGUUCUCCAUCCUGCUGUGGCCGUUCAACCUCACGCUGCCGCUGCUGCGCCACCUGCCGCGGGUCUGCGCCACGCUCCGGGCGGCCGCGGCGCAGUUCGACGCCGAGCUGCGCGCGUUGCUGAGUGGCCGACGGCAGAGGGCGCCGGUGCCGCAGCUGGACCACCAGUACUCUGCCCUCCGCCCCGUGCAGAGACGGCCGGCGGGACAGCUCGUCGCGCAGGCCAUGCUGGCCCUCGUCGACGUCUCAUACUGAUUCAUGCCUCAUGUUGGUUGCAUUCUUGAGUUGACAGGCCUCCGCGCUCUGGUCUGGCGGAGCUCCUCUUCCAUAGGCUAGGCUAGUGGCUCGCCAGUUUCAUUCGAGCUUGCUUGCGCAUAGGCACAUAGCUGUUCCAAAAAAAAAAUUGUACCCUUCUAUUCGUCAGCUGCGGCGUUUGACUCCUCCGAUCCUGCAUUGUGAUUUGUGAAUUUUGUACUCUUUUGUGAAAUAUGAACUGCAAGGAAUUUGGAUCGAACGGGACAUUCCCUCCUUGAUCAAACAUAUCGACGAGUCAAUACAGAUUCAUGUUGCAUGUCCCUUGCAAAUUCAGCAAACUCAAAAUCUUCUGAUGCACUUUUUAGCUUACACUGGACUCAGGGUAACUAUUAUAAAUCAGUUAUAGUUCCCAUCAAUGUCGGCCCCCAAAGAACUCAGAUUCUGGCUAACAUUCGGGGUCGUGUUGUGGGCAGUUUUCCAUUUAUAUAUCUAGGGCUUCCUCUUGGCACUAUGAACAUUUCAUCCGUAUGAUGCAAAGAAUUGAGAGGAGACUCACUGGUUGUUCUAUUUUCUGUCCUAUGGGGGAAAACCGACUUUGAUCAAAAGUGCCUUCUCAAGCAUGCCAACAUUCCUUAUGAGUUCUCUGGCCCUCCCUAUUUCUGUGAUUGACAAGUCAACAAAUACAUCAGACAUUGCUUGUGGAGAAAAUAUGGUAUGGAGGAACAUGGUCGUGCUUGAUUUGGAACACUUACUAUCCCAAUAGUGCACCCACUGACAUGGGUUCACUUGAUUUGGAACACUUACUAUCCCAAUAGUGCACCCACUGACAAACCAAUGGGUUCAUUCUGGUGGGAAGCAAUCUUGAAAUUACUCCCUGAGUUCAAAUCCAUGGCCUCUUGUACUGUGGGACAAGGAAGAUCUGUUCUUUUCUGGCAUGACAAAUGGAACAAUACACCUCUUAACAUCCAAUACACUGAAUUAUUCUCUUUUGCCAUUGAUAAAUGCAUCUCUGUUCGACAAGUGGCUGAGACUGAAAGCUUUGAAGAGAUUUUGUACAGGCCACUGUCUAUUCGGGCCUUUGAUCAGUUCCAAGAAGUGCAAUUAACAUUGAACCAUACCAGAUUCUCCAAUAGUGAUGAUACAUGGCAGUAUACUUGGAACUUUGCUAAAUUUUCCGCAGCCAAGUUGUACAAGAUUUUAAUGCAGGGGGGACGGUUUCUCCCAUUUUUAAUAAGAUUUGUAAAUCUUCAGUCGUCCAGAGAUACAAAAUCUUCUGCUGGUUCCUUGCACUUGACAUAUUGAAUACCAGAAGCCUUCUCCAUAGAAAAUCCUUCUAUCUGCCCUCCUACUUAUCUGAACUUUGCAAUGAGCAUGCGGAUGAGACCCCCCUUCGCCUUUUCUGGGAUUGUAAGUUUGCUCUCCAAUGCUGGGAUAUGAUCACUCCCAACAACAAAAAAAGAGACACUGCUGUUCUCCAGGAAAUCAACUUGGCUUUGAACGAACUACCCUCCGGCUUGGCUAUGAGCAUAGUUAUCAUGAGUUGCUGGCAUAUCUAGAUGCAUUGAAACAACAAAAUAUUCAGGCAUAUAAGUCCCAACAUCACCUCUUGGAAAUUUCAACUCAGAAAAGAUCUAGAGCUACUCAAAUACAGAGCUAAGCAGCAGCUACAUCAAGUUCUUCAAGGAUGGAUUGAGUCAAGAUUAGCCUGAUUUAUUAAUCGUUAUCAUGUUUCCUAGAACAGGCAUUGGAUAGAGGGAUUCAUCCAUCCCCUUGUAAUUUCUUUUACUUUGUACAUAAUUGUUUUUGGGUUAUAUUAAUGAAAAUAUACCGCAAAAAAAUUACAAAUUCAUGAGAUGGAUCGUUGAGCGCUCUUCCUUUAUCUCAAAUUAAGUGUUUUAUUUUUUACACGGUAAUAAGGAGUUUAUUCCAAGAUUAUAAAGUUACAAUCCAGAGGCACAGGGUCCUCAAUACACACAGAAGUACAAGAGUGUGACAUGUCAGUCGAUCUGCUGUACUAUUCUGACCACGUCUAACUUUCUGAGAAACAAACUCUCUGUCCAUAGUGAGUGACUUAAUCUCAGCAGUUAAAUGCCCAUAUACAGAGCCGUUCAUUUGAAAAGAUGGACAGUGCCUCUGCCGAGUCAGAGUGGACAAGGACCGGUUUAUCUGUUAGUUGGAUGGCCAGAGCCAUGGCCAGCAUCAAGUCAUGUAUCUCCACUUCAAGGGCCUCAGUGCAGUGGAAAAGUACCCGAUAUGCUGCAAAAAUCAUAAACCCAUCCUUCCUCCUGAGAAUCAUCCCAGCUGCCAUUAGAGCAUCUCCAACAGACGCGCGCGCGCUAAAAACAGAAUAUAGCGUCAGGUGAGCCAGCUUUUAUGCGCGGCGGUGUGCUGGCUCCAGAGAUCGCCGCAAAAUAAGCGCCCGAGCCGCUCCAGCAGGCGCGCUAUAUUUCAUCUUUUUUCUUAACUACGAUUCGAUACACAUUUGGGUCCGAUAGUAUAAAUGUGAGAUAGUUCGUCACAUAGCCUGCUCCUACGAUACAAAAUAGUGCAUAGAUAGUUCAUAACCUUCUCCUACGAUAGAUAGAUAAAACCAAAAACUACUACUAUUCGUCAUUCUCCGACUCGGACUCUGCCUCGGUCAUGUCCUUCUCCGACGUCUGAGCGUAGGCAUCAAGGAACCGCUCGUCGUUGGAGUCCCAGGACGACGCAUCUCCUAGCGCGAUGUUGAAUUUAGCGACCGCCUUUCGCGUUCGCUUGUCCUCGCGAUAGGCGGUUCGCUCCUCCCUCCUCUCCUCCCUCUCCGCCCUUCUCUCGGCGAAGAACUGUUGCUCGUUGAUGUCGUCUUGCGGGAAGCGUUGGCGCCACAACGCCAUGGCUUCCUCGUCCAUCUCGGCCAGGCUGAGACGGCGCUCCCGCCUCCGGUUCUCGCGACGAUCCUCGUCGGUGAUAAGCCGCGGGGGAGGCGCCAACUCCUGCGCCCGCUCCCGCGUCGCCACGUCCGGGAAGUUCAUCGGCCACGCCGCGGCGUCGUACGCGCGAGCACCCUCCUGGGCGGUGUCGAAGGUUCCGAGGCCGAGGCGUACGUCGCCGGACCGAAUCUCGAAGGAGUAGGUGCCGAACGGAUGCACGCGGACGCCGCGGUAGCCCGAAGCUCCCCGGCGGCGUGGCGGCAUGAUGGCGCGGUGGUGGCGUGUCGGUGGCGAGGAGAGAAAGCGGUAGAGGGAGCGACGAGAGAGCGGCAGAGGGCUGCAAUUUUAUAGGCGCGCCGGACGCGGUGCGCCAAAUCUAGCGCGCGAGCUCCCACUUUUUUCCCAUACGCGCUAGUUUCCCGUCUCCGUUGGAGCGCGCGAAAACGUCCCCCGCACGCUAAAAUGCUAGUUUACCGCGCGCGUCUUUUGACGCGUCCGUUGGAGAUGCUAUUAAACCAUCAUGGACACAAAAUGAUCCACCCAUGGAAAGGGCUGCCGAGUUUGUCGGUGGAGGACUGCAAGGAAUUUAGAUAGAACGGGGCAUCCCACCUUGAACAAACAUUUUGAUGAGGCAAUCCAAAUUCAUGAGGUCGAUAACUGAAGAUUUUUGCCUUUAUCUGGAAUUAAAUGCUGAUAAUCAGAUGAGUGCUAACUGGACGAUUCAUAAAUGUGCACAUUUUUGUUGGCAGGGCAGUUUUUAUUACUAAGCGCCUCACAUUUUUAUUGGAUGCCAUUUUUGUCAAUAAUAGGAUGACAUUUUAUUUAUUGAGAGGACAACAUUUUUUUAUUACAAAUAGUGUUAGAAUAAAUUCGAGGCAUAUCGUCGAUCGUCCGAGGACAAUGCAAUCACACGAGCACGACUCCGAGAUUUGUUAACGAGGUCCGCCGAUAUGGCUACAUCCCGGGGCCUGACUACGGGCGCUCCUCCCCGUGACACCGUCACAAUACCGCACACCGGCCACUCGGGCGCCGGCACACGCUGCCGGCUCCCCCUUCCGCGCCUGUGCUAUUAUGUUGACAUAGGUUACAUCGUGUGUCUACCCUCCAUUAUACAUGAGAGGCCUAGGAUACAGGUGUCCUACUAGGACACCACAUCCUAUGUAAACACAAUACAACUCAUAGUCCAACUAUAACCUAUCUUGUACACAAUAUUCGACACAACUCUAACAAACUCCACCUUGACGAAUAUUCUCCACCACCUUAAAUUCGUCAAUGUGUCAAACUUUCAUGUACAUUGGACUUGAGCUUCUCUCAUUAGUACCGCUGCUACUCCAAAGACUCCAUAUGACUCCACCUGCAACUUGUAGUCCCUUCUUUUCUUGACCACUGUCAACACUCGAGCAAAAUUAAGUCCCUCUUUACUCUAGUGUAUGCUCCCAACUUCCAGAGCUCCAUUCAAUGCCAUCACACACUGAUCACUUGUUCGCACACGAACACAUCACCAUGUACCCUCGACGCCGGGGGUGAUGCACCGCAGCUCACGUCGAAGGAGACCAGGCCGGAAGCGCGGUACGCAGGUAAUCCGGUGGGUGCUUUUGAAGACCCGAAACCCCGCACGCCCGGGAGGGACCCCGUCUGGACGUGCGGCGGCUAUGGGCUGCCCUAGGUCGGCCUGACCACCCCUAGGGCCUCGAGGUUCGCCGCCCUGCAACAAAAAGAACAGACGAAGAACGAGGAAGAAGAAGAACUAGGGUUAAGUAGAAAAGAUAAAAAAUAAAAAGUGGUAAAUGAUUUGAUCGAUUAUGUGUUGUUCAGUCGGCCGUCACCUCUUAGGUAUAUAAAAGGCGGCUAGACUUCCCGUGCAAGGAAAAGAUUUGGAUUCACGUCCAAAACCCUAGUCAAAUUCGGAUUGGUUUUAUCCGAACUUUCCAAAACUGUUCGGUCUAAAACUGGCUGCACCUUGCAGGUCUUUUUUGUGGUGGUAAAUGACCUCGGAUGGAAACGAGUCCAAAAGCAAUCUUGACCGUUUCGACGAGACGAACAACUUUCAUGUUGAACGUUUUUUCAUCAGAGGUCAUCUCGAGGGUCAAACGCUCGCGCAAAACAGCUCAUUAUUCACGCAGCUCAUCAGACAUACCCACAGAUGUGUCUGGUUCCGGGCGUCAUAUUUUGCUCACUGGAGGGUCGCGCUGUGCGGGCUCUAACUUUUGCAUACGACCUUGGAUUGGGAUGAUCUUUAUAUGGAAAUCAAUCGAUUUGAUGAGACGCACAACUUUUGUGUUGAAACUUUCUCCAUUUGAAGCUAUCUUAAUUGGGUUUCUAACCAUUCUUUAAUCUGGUGUCGACAUGAGCAUCUCUGAACUUGUCAUAACUUUUACAUCCGAGCUCCGUUUUAGACCAUCUUCAUAUUCAUCUUGAUCUUCUCGAAGAGAGCCAUCUCAUGGUGACUUUCAAUAGUAAGUUUGAAUUAAUCUUGACAUAGCUUCAAGCCACUCUUUAUAAUUGUGCCACUUUUGAGCGUCAACACAUGCCCCCCUGUUUUUAGGUAAAGCUAGCGUGCCAAAAAAUAACUUGUACCAAGCUUGUUCUAAGGACGAUGUCAACACUCCAUCGGCCAUUUAUAUGUUCUUAGGACGAUAAGUAUAUAUCGGCCAUGUCUUGUGUGAACUUUCUGAUGCAAGCUUGGGUGAAACCUUCUCAGCUUCAUAACAAUCCGAUGAUAAGGUUUCAUAGAUAUGUAUCUCAAAGCCAUCCUCCGAACCAUAUUAUUCACCUUUUCGCUAGGAUUUUGCAGAUAAUCAAGAAUGAACUUCCUCCAAUCCUUGCUUUGCCUUAUCUCGCUCUCCAAUCGAACUAAGGACGAUGUUGGAGUACUACACCGGCCAUGCAUUGACAUAAUCUUAGGACGAUAGAUAAAUAUCGGCCAUUACCAUGUAAACUUCAUUCAAAGCACAUAUAGCCAAAAUAAACAAAUGAAAUGACAAAUCAAGUAUUUCGGCCCUUUGGAUCAACAAUAAACUUGUAGCUAAUCAAAUGUAUAGUGACUUGGUAAUACCCUUUCAUGACGUAAGAAAUUAUAUUGCAUCCAUGGGCCCAUUGAGGGUUACCAAUCAUACCUGAUGACGAAUUCCAUGGCAUAGGCGUUAAUGACCUAGUUGAAGAAUAUGGAUAAUGUGUAGACCGAAGAUGCUGAAACCUUCGGCUUGGCCCUUCAUAGUUUUCACUCUUUUCCUUCUUCACCUUUACCGCACGUCGUGUAAUGGAUGCUUUCACAUAAUUCUUAUUUUGAGUACUUCCUUUAGGAACCCAUGCCAUGUUUCUUUCUUCAAGUUCUUGUGCACUAAGUUUUUGUAAUUUCUUCUUUUGCCAAUAUGAUAAGCCGAGUGAGCACCCCGGCUGUGAUUUUGUUUGAAGUAAUGGCAAUUCUUCUUUUACCUUGCCCACUCUCAACUUCUUCUCUUCAGAUUUGACACUUGAUUGACUUGCCUCAUUGCCUUUAGUAGCCAAUGUCUACACUUUAAUUGGCUCUUUGUUAUUUGAGAUCAAAUCUGAAGUAGCACACUUACGACCAUCUCUUUUCAUGCGGUAAACUUUCUUGACCACCUCUUUCUUCUUCCAUGAGCUCUGGACCAAUUCCUUAUGAUUGAAACGGUCUUUGACGUGUGAUUUUUCAAAUUUUGAUCUUCUCGGAGCUGCAUAAUAUUGGUGAGAUGGUCUAAAAUAAGAUGGAGAAUGUGCCCUUGUAUCAUACCUGUCCCAUGAUGGAUAUAGAUUUACAUGAGCAUAAGGAGGCAUCCACGGCAUUGGCAUUGGCGUCCCAAAAUAAGGAUAUGAAUAUGUUGCAUUAAAAUUCUCAGUUUGCCAAUACCAAUCCUCAUAUUUGCGCCUUGGGGCUGAUCUUGGUUUCUUUGCAUGCUUUGGCCGAUAAGUAUUCUUCUCUUCACUCUUCUUUUGAUAUUUAUCCAAUGGUUCAGCGAAGGUGAUUUUUGAUCUCUUACACUUGCGCUUAUUUCGGCCUUUGUUUUCUUCUGGUUUUCUUUCGUCGAUCAUUGGAUUUGCUUGCUGCCCCCAGUCCUUGGCGUCUCUAUUGUAGCUUCAAUGGAAUUCUCGCCCUCAAGAUUGUGUUCAUUAUGCUUUUCAACAACUUCUUUACUUGAAAGCUUGAUGCCAUCACCUGUAGUUUUUACCUUCUCUUUAAAUGGAUCGACUUGAAGCAACCGAUGCAAAAACUUUUUGCCAUCGGGACCAAUCGGAAUAGACUGGUCAUCUCUUAGUGUUUCAACAAACUUCAAUCGUCCUUUUUCAAUGGCUGAUUUAACUAUUUGACAAAACCUUUGCAGUCCUCAAAAUUAUGCUUGGACGAAUUAUGCACUUACAAUACAUUCGUCCUUGGAUUGAUGGCUUAACAUGGUGAUCAAGAAUUGUAAUGUAAUUAUUUUUCAGCAACAAAUCAAAUAUUUGAUCACACAUGCUUGAAUUGAAGGUAUACUUCUUGUUUUCUAGCCGAUCUUGCUGUGUGAACGGCUUUGGAGAUAAGCAAACGAAUGGUUCAGGUUUGGAAUCUCCCCAUUCGGCUAUGCAUUGUGUUUUCCACUCUAUAUCCGAUGUCUUUGGAUAAGAUAUUAUAUUGGCAUCAGUUUUCUCAACAGAAUUUAACCUUGGCUUUAAAUUUAUGAAACGAAGAUAUUUAGAACAUACAUGUCUCAGUUGAGACCAAGUGCAAGCCAAGUACGAAAUAAGCAAAGCUACCCAACUAGAUAUGAACUUUAGAUAAAGCAACGGGGAAAGCUUUGGCUGUAACAAUAAGUCAUUAUCGGUCUUUAUAAAUGGCGCAAUGGAUUGACCGAUAUGUUCCAUAACAAUUUUAUUGCUAACAAGUAAAUUAUCCUUUUUCAUUGGUCUUUCAAAAUUACUUAUGAGAAUAUUUCUUAUAGAUGCAUCAAUAAUGAAGUUGCAACCAAAUCUGAAAAUAGGUAAAUUACUCGCUAUGCAUACCUCUUCAAAUACGUUGGGAGAGCAUGAUGGUGGUGUGACUUGAACAAUAUCUAGCUUCAUCUUUGGAUGACUCUCCAACACCUUUUCAUCAUCUUUUUCUUGAUUCCAUGCAGCAUUACUUUGAAGAUCCUUGUCAGCCGAACUUUGUUCAGCUACUUGCUCUCGUCCUUGAGGCUUGUCAAUUUCUACGGCACGAAACUCAUAGGGCAGGAAGUAGAUUCCAUUAACUUCAGAAAAAUCAAGCACCGCUAUUUUCCUAUGCUUGCCAUGCCCUUUCUCAGUGAUGCUUGCCUCUUUGGAUUUGAUUGAUUCGAAAUAUAUACUACUUGGUUCGGCUUUUUUCAACCAAAUCACUUUUAUUUUCCGAAUCAUCAUUCCUUUUAUCGGUUAUAUCAAUUGGCAAUGCUUCUUUUAUUUGACCAAUUCUUUUUCUAUUUGUUUCUGGCGGCGAGCGGCAAAAUUAGCUUUAAGCUUUUUCUCAAUUUCAGCCCACUCCGGAUAUGAUUGCCCCCCAAUGCUUUUAGAUUCUUUCGGCAAUGACACAGGGGUGUUGCCGAAAUUUUGCAAUUGUGUAGGGGGUGUAUAAUAUGAUGUAGUACUAGGCGAAGGCAUAUGCAUUGUUGUAAGACCAUACUUUUGCUCGCCAAUUUUAUCAAUUGGCAAAGAUUCAUCUUCUUGCAAAACUCUAGCUUUUAUUGCGGCAUAAUCAGGAAAUAGCCCCUUUUCAUGUUGUUCAAGUCAAAGAGCACUAAUUCUCUUAUUUUGGGCUAAACUCUUCAAUGCAGCCACCACUAUCUCAUCUUCUACAAUAUUGGGCACAACCGCUCCUGUAAAAUUUACAUUUAUUCGGCUAUAACCAGGAAGGUGUGAAGCCGAAUUAUGAGCAUCUACAGUUGUGUAUGGUGCCGAAAAAUUACUAACAUGAGGUGUAGCAUAUGACGGUUGAGAGUAACUAGCCGAAUAACUAGUAGUAGCAUGGCCAAUUCUCCCAUCCAUCGGCAAGGUUGGAUUCACAUAUUGCAAAUUAGUUGCCGAUGAAUAAAAAGGUGAAACACUUUCUUGUAUGCUAUUGGAAAUUUUAACAUGGGGUAUUUCAAAUUGAUUAACCAAACCCAUCAUGUUGUUCAUCGGCAUAUGGAUUUGUAGGGUUGUCGAUGCAUGAAAGUUUGGAUACAUAUGUUGUACGUUGCUAAAAUCAUAAGAAUUUGAAGCAUGAAGAUUAUUUUGCAUCGGCCCAUGCGCAUAAUUAGAUGCAUGAUUGAUAAAACUAGGGCUAGCCGAUACAUUAUGCUCAUUAGGUGAUCCAGCAACAACAUAUGGAUUAUUUGCAUCUACAAAAGCGAAUUGGGUAUUCAUAUUACCUUUGUAAAUUGCAGCAACUUGAUGACGAUCUCUUCGUCGCAAGAACGGUUGGAGACCGUUCAAAGCUUCGUCCCCAGCGGAGUCGCCAAAAAGUGUGUUCGCACACGAACACGUCACCGUGUACCCUCGACGCCGGGGGUGAUGCACCGCAGCUCACGUCGAAGGAGACCCGGCCGGAAGCGCGGUACGCAGGCAAUCUGGCGGGUUCUUUUGAAGACCCGAAACCCCGCACGCCCGGGAGGGACCCCGUCUGGACGCGCGGCGGCUAUGGGCUUCCCUAGGUUGGCCUGACGACCCCUAGGGCCUCGAGGUUCACCACCCUGCAACAAGAAGAACAGACGAAGAACGAGGAAGAAGAAGAAUUAGGGUUAAGUAGAAAAGAUAAAAGAUAAAAAGUGGUAGAUGAUUUGAUUGAUUGUGUGUUGUUCAAUCGGCCGUCACCCCAUAGGUAUAUAAGAGGCGGCUGGACUUCCCGUGCAAGGAAAAGGUUUGGAUUCACGUCCAAAACCCUAGUCAAAUUCGGAUUGGUUUUAUCCGAACUUUCCAAAACUGUUCGGUCUAAAACUGACUGCACCUUGUGGGUCUUUUUUGUGGUGGUAAACGACCUCGGAUGGAAAUGAGUCCAGAAGCAAUCUUGACCGUUUCGACGAGACGAACAACUUUCAUGUUGAACGUUUUUUCAUCGAGAGGUCAUCUCGAGGGUCGAACACUCGCACAAAACAGCUAAUUAUUCACGCAGCUCAUCAGACAUACCCACAUAUGUGUCUGGUUCCGGGCGUCAUAUUUUGCUCACUGGAGAGUCACGCUGUGCAGGCUCUAACUUUUGCAUACGACCUCGGAUUGGGAUGAUCUUUAUAUAUAAAUCAAUUGAUUUGACGAGACGCACAACUUUCGUGUGGAAACUUUCUCCAUUUGAAGCUAUAUUAAUUGGGUUUCUAACCAUUCUUUAAUCUGGUGUUGACAUGAGCAUCUCUGAACUUGUCAUAACUUUUACAUCCGAGCUCCGUUUUAGACCAUCUUCAUAUUCAUCUUGAUCUUCUCGAAGAGAGCCAUCUCAUGGUGACUUUCAAUGUAAGUUUGAAUUAAUCUUGACAUAGCUUCAAGCCACUCUUUAUAAUUAUGCCACUUUUGAGCAUCAGCAUCACUAACCUGUGUGAAAAUGAACAACUCACAUAUUGGGUGUCACACAUAAGAGUUACCUGAACUCAAGUCGCCGCUCCUUUCUUGACCGCCUGUCUGAAACUUGAAGAAAUUUCACCGUUGCUUGUAGUCACCCGGAGUCAAAUUCGCAGUCGUCUCAUCACAUGUAUGACCACCAGAGCCCUGGCCCAUCUCCAUGUCCCAUGCAUACCGCACGUCUCGCCGCUAUUACUGCGUCGAGCCUCCGCUGUCCCGAUUGAGUCUCAAGGGUCGUGAAACCACACCAAUCAACCCCCACUGCAGAGUACCACCGAUCAUCACCGACCGAUGACGAGUUUCACACUUCCAUCAGACAACUGGGCUCCAGUCCGAACUACGUGUCCCUCGCUUUUUCCCCGCUGAAUAGGCUUCGACUCCGUCGACUUACGCCGUAGCCCUUUAAUAAACACCAAGUGAAGUCUUCCGUCAGACUCCAGAUCCACCUUCAACAUGACUCCAUGGUGGUUGUACGUCCCACCCCGCGCCCCGUCGACUUCAAGCUCCGUGUGUACACCACCUUGAAUCAACCCCGCGCCAUAGUCUUGUCGAAGCCACACAAGCACUCAGGCCUAUGCCACGUGUUUCCAUGCCCCAGACGUCGGUCACCAUCAGCAUUGCGCUCCUAUGUCGUUGUCGCCGAUCCCACCACCGUCUUCUGUACCAACCGACUCACGUCGAUCCCGUCAAACUGUCCAGUCCGACCCAUCCGAUUUAUCCGACUGCAUGACACGUUCCUGACUCCUCAAGCCGUCACCAUGACCAUCACCAUGUUGGAAAUAUGCCCUAGAGGCAAUAAUAAAUGGUUAUUAUUAUAUUUCUUUGUUCAUGGUAAUUGUCUAUUAUUCAUGCUAUAAUUGUGUUAUCCGGAAAUCGUAAUACAUGUGUGAAUACAUAGACCACAACGUGUCCCUAGUAAGCCUCUAGUUGACUAGCUCGUUGAUCAACCGAUAGUCAUGGUUUCCUGACUAUGGACAUUGGAUGUCAUUGAUAACGGGAUCACAUCAUUAGGAGAAUGAUGUGAUGGACAAGACCCAAUCCUAAGCAUAGCAUAAAGAUCGUGUAGUUUCGUUUGCUAGAGCUUUUCCAAUGUCAAGUGUCUUUUCCUUAGACCAUGAGAUCGUGCAACUCCCGGAUACCGUAGGAGUGCUUUGGGUGUGCCAAACGUCACAACGUAACUGGGUGACUAUAAAGGUGCACCACGGGUAUCUCCGAAAGUAUCUGUUGGGUUGGCACGGAUCGAGACUGGGAUUUGUCACUCCGUGUGACGGAGAGGUAUCUCUGGGCCCACUCGGUAAUGCAUCAUCAUAAUGAGCUCAAUGUGACUAAGGCGUUAGUCACGGGAUCAUGCAUUGCGGUACGGGUAAAGAGACUUUCCGGUAACGAGAUUGAACAAGGUAUUGGGAUACCGACGAUCGAAUCUCGGGCAAGUAACAUACCGAUUGACAAAGGGAAUUGUAUACGGGAUUGACUGAAUCCUCGACAUCAUGGUUCAUCCGAUGAGAUCAUCGUGGAACAUGUGGGAGCCAACAUGGGUAUCCAGAUCCCGCUGUUGGUUAUUGACCGGAGAGGCGUCUCGGUCAUGUCUGCAUGUCUCCCGAACCCGUAGGGUCUACACACUUAAGGUUCGGUGACGCUAGGGUUGUAGAGAUAUAUGUAUGCGGAAACCCGAAAGUUGUUCGGAGUCCCGGAUGAGAUCCCGGACGUCACGAGGAGUUCCGGAAUGGUCCGUAGGUGAAGAAUUAUAUAUAGGAAGUCCAGUUUCGGCCACCGGGAAAGUUUCGGGGGUUACCGGUAUUGUACCGGGACCAUCGGAAGGGUCCCGGGGGUCCACCGGGUGGGGCCACCUGUCCCGGAGGGCCCCAUGGGCUGAAAGUGGAAGGGAACCAGCCCUUAGUGGGCUGGGGCGCCCCCCUUGGGCCUCCCCCUACGCCUAGGGUUGGAAACCCUAGGGUUGGGGGGCGCCCCCCCCUUUGGCUUGUGGGGGAAGCCACCCCUUCCCCCCCCCCUUGGCCGCCGCCCCCCUUGGAGAUCUGAUCUCCCAAGGGCUGGCGCCCCCCCCAGGGGUCCUAUAAAUAGUGGGGGGGGGAGGGAGGGCAGCAACAUAACAGCCCCUGGCGCCUCCCUCUCCCCCUGCUACACCUCUCCUUCUCGCAGAAGCUCAGCGAAGCCCUGCCGAGACCCGCUACAUCCACCACCACGCCGUCGUGCUGCUGGAUCUCCAUCAACCUCUCCUUCCCCCUUGCUGGAUCAAGAAGGAGGAGACGUCGCUGCACCGUACGUGUGUUGAACGCGGAGGUGCCGUCCGUUCGGCACUCGGUCAUCGGUGAUUUGAAUCACGACGAGUACGACUCCGUCAUCCACGUUCAUUGGAACGCUUCCGCUCGCGAUCUACAAGGGUAUGUAGAUGCAACCCUUUCCCCUCGUUGCUAGUAUACUCCAUAGAUGCAUCUUGGUGAGCGUAGGAAAAUUUUAAAAUUAUGCUACGAUUCCCAACAGUGGUGUGAGAGCCAGGCCUAUGCGUAGUUACUAUGCACGAGUAGAACACAAAGCAGUUGUGGGCGUUGAGUUUGCCAAUUCUUCUUGCCGCUACUAGUCUUUUUUUGUUUCGGCGGUAUUGUAGGAUGAAGCGGCCCGGACCGACCUUACACGUACGCUUACGUGAGAAAGGUUCCACCGAUUGACAUGCACUAGUUGCAUAAGGUGGCUAGCGGGUGUCUGUCUCUCCUACUUUAGUCGGAACGGAUUCGAUGAAAAGGGUCCUUAUGAAGGGUAAAUAGAAAUUGGCAAAUCACGUUGUGGUCAUACGUAGGUAAGAAACGUUCUUGCUAGAAACAUACAAACCACGUAAAAAAACUUGCAACAAUAAUUAGAGGACGUCUAACUUGUUUUUGCAGCAUAUGCCUUGUGAUGUGAUAUGGCCAAAAGGAUGUGAUGAAUGAAAUAUAUGUGAUGUAUGAGAUUGAUCAUAUUCUUGUAAUAGGAAUCACGACUUGCAUGUCGAUGAGUAUGACAACCGGCAGGAGCCAUAGGAGUUGUCUUUAUUAUUUUGUAUGACCUGUGUGUCAUUGAAUAACGCCAUGUAAAUUACUUUACUUUGUUGCUAAACGCGUUAGCCAUAGAAGUAGAAGUAAUCGUUGGCGUGACGACUUCAUGAAGACACAAUGAUGGAGAUCAUGAUGAUGGAGAUCAUGGUGUCAUGCCGGUGACGAAGAUGAUCAUGGUGCCCCGAAGAUGGAGAUCAAAGGAGCAUAAUGAUAUUGGCCAUAUCAUGUCACUAUUUGAUUGCAUGUGAUGUUUAUCAUGUUUUUGCAUCUUAUUUGCUUAGAACGACGGUAGUAAGUAAGAUGAUCCCUUAUAAUAAUUUCAAGAAAGUGUUCACCCUAACUGUGCACCGUUGCGAAGGUUCGUUGUUUCGAAGCACCACGUGAUGAUCGGGUGUGAUAGAUUCUAACGUUCGAAUACAACGGGUGUUGACGAGCCUAGCAUGUACAGACAUGGCCUCGGAUCACACGCAAUACACUUAGGUUAACUUGACGAGCCUAGCAUGUACAGACAUGGCCUCGGAACACGGAGGACCGAAAGGUUGAGCAUGAGUCGUAUAGAAGAUACGAUCAACAUGGAGAUGUUCACCGAUCUUGACUAGUCCGUCUCACGUGAUGACCGGACACGGCCUAGUUAACUCGGAUCAUGUUUCACUUAGAUGACUAGAGGGAUGUCUAUCUGAGUGGGAGUUCAUUGAAUAAUUUGAUUAUAUGAACUUAAUUAUCAUGAACUUAGUCUAAAAUCUUUAUAAUAUGUCUUGUAGAUCAAAUGGCCAACGUUGUCCUCAAUUUCAACGCGUUCCUAGAGAAAACCAAGCUGAAAGAUGAUGGCAGCAACUAUACGGACUGGGUCCGGAACCUGAGGCUCAUCCUCAUAGUAGCCAAGAAAGAUUAUGUCUUAGAAGCACCGCUAGGUGAAGCACCAAUCCCAGAGAACCAAGACGUUAUGAACGCUUGGCAAACACGUGCUGAUGAUUACUCCCUCGUUCAGUGCGGCAUGCUUUACAGCUUAGAACCGGGUCUCCAAAAGCAUUUUGAGAAACAUGGAGCAUAUGAGAUGUUCGAGGAGCUGAAAUUAGUUUUCCAAGCUCAUGCCCGGGUCGAGAGAUAUGAAGUCUCCGACAAGUUCUUCAGCUGUAAAAUGGAGGAGAAUAGUUCUGUUAGUGAGCACAUACUCAGAAUGUCUGGGUUGCACAACCGCUUGACUCAGCUGGGAGUUAAUCUCCCGGAUGACGCGGUCAUUGACAGAAUCCUUCAGUCGCUUCCACCAAGCUUCAAGAGCUUUGUGAUGAACUACAAUAUGCAGGGGAUGGAAAAGACCAUUCCUGAGGUAUAUUCAAUGCUGAAAUCAGCGGAGGUAGAAAUCAGAAAAGAACAUCAAGUGUUGAUGGUGAAUAAAACCACUAAGUUCAAGAAGGGCAAGGGUAAGAAGAACUUCAAGAAGGACGGCAAGGGAGUUGCCGCACCCGGUAAACCAGUUACUGGGAAGAAGUCAAAGAAUGGACCCAAGCCAGAAACUGAGUGCUUUUAUUGCAAGGGAAGUGGUCACUGGAAGCGGAACUGCCCCAAAUACUUAGCGGACAAGAAGGCCGGCAACACCAAAGGUAUAUGUGAUAUACAUGUAAUUGAUGUGUACCUUACCAGUACUCGUAGUAGCUCCUGGGUAUUUGAUACCGGUGCGGUUGCUCAUAUUUGUAACUCAAAACAGGAACUACGGAAUAAACGGAGACUGGCGAAGGACGAGGUGACGAUGCGCGUCGGGAAUGGUUCCAAGGUCGAUGUGAUCGCCGUCGGCACGCUACCUCUGCAUCUACCCACGGGAUUAGUUUUAAACCUCAAUAAUUGUUAUUUACUGCCAGCUUUGAGCAUGAACAUUGUAUCUGGAUCUCGUUUAAUUUGAGAUGGUUACUCAUUUAAAUCCGAGAAUAAUGGUUGUUCUAUUUAUAUGAGAGAUAUGUUUUAUGGUCAUGCCCCGCUGGUUAAUGGUUUAUUCUUGAUGAAUCUCGAACGUGAUGUUACACAUGUUCAUAGUGUGAAUACCAAAAGAUGUAAAGUUGAUAACGAUAGUCCCACAUACUUGUGGCACUGCCGCCUUGGUCGCAUUGGUGUCAAGCGCAUGAAGAAGCUCCAUGCAGAUGGACUUCUGGAGUCUCUUGAUUACGAAUCAUUUGACACGUGCGAACCAUGCCUCAUGGGUAAGAUGACCAAGACUCCGUUCUCCGGAACAAUGGAGCGAGCGACCAACUUAUUGGAAAUCAUACAUACCGAUGUGUGCGGUCCAAUGAGUGUUGAGGCUCGCGGAGGAUAUCGUUAUGUUCUCACUCUCAUUGAUGAUUUAAGUAGAUAUGGGUAUGUCUACCUAAUGAAACACAAGUCUGAAACCUUUGAAAAGUUCAAGGAAUUUCAGAGUGAAGUUGAGAAUCAACGUGACAGGAAAAUAAAAUUCUUACGAUCAGAUCGUGGUGGAGAAUAUUUAAGUCACGAAUUUGGUACACACUUAAGGAAAUGUGGAAUAGUUUCACAACUCACGCCGCCUGGAACACCUCAGAGAAAUGGUGUGUCCGAACGUCGUAAUCGCACUCUAUUGGAUAUGGUGCGAUCUAUGAUGUCUCUUACCGAUUUACCGCUCUCAUUUUGGGGUUAUGCUUUAGAGACUGCCGCAUUCACUUUAAAUAGGGCUCCGUCGAAAUCCGUUGAGACGACACCGUAUGAAUUAUGGUUUGGGAAGAAACCUAAGCUGUCGUUUCUAAAAGUUUGGGGAUGCGAUGCUUAUGUCAAGAAACUUCAACCUGAAAAGCUCGAACCCAAGUCGGAAAAAUGCGUCUUCAUAGGAUACCCUAAGGAAACUAUUGGGUAUACCUUCUACCUCAGAUCCGAAGGCAAGAUCUUCGUUGCCAAGAACGGGUCCUUUCUGGAGAAGGAGUUUCUCUCGAAAGAAUUGAGUGGGAGGAAAGUGGAACUUGAUGAGGUGAUAGUCACCCCUUCCGUACCGGAAAGUAGCGCAGUGCGGGAAAAUGUUCCUGAGGUGCCUACACCUACUGGGGAGGAAGUUAAUGAUGAUGAUCAUGAAGCUUCGGAUCAAGUUACUACUGAACCUCGUAGGUCCACAAGGACACGUUCCGCACUAGAGUGGUACGGCAACCCUGUCCUGGAAAUCAUGUUGUUAGACAACGGUGAACCUUCGAACUAUGAAGAAGCGAUGGCGGGCCCGGAUUCCGACAAAUGGCUAGAAGCCAUGAAAUCCGAGAUAGGAUCCAUGUAUGAAAACGAAGUAUGGACUUUGACAGACUUGCCCGAUGAUCGGCGAGCCAUAGAAAACAAAUGGAUCUUUAAGAAGAAGACGGACGCGGAUGGUAAUGUGACCAUCUACAAAGCUCGACUUGUCGCUAAGGGUUAUCGACAAGUUCAAGGGGUUGACUACGAUGAGACUUUCUCACCCGUAGCGAAGCUGAAGUCCGUCCGAAUCAUGUUAGCAAUUGCCGCAUACUAUGAUUAUGAGAUAUGGCAGAUGGACGUCAAAACGGCAUUCCUUAACGGCUUCCUUAAGGAAGAGUUGUAUAUGAUGCAGCCGGAAGGUUUUGUCGAUCCUAAGAAUGCUAACAAAGUAUGCAAGCUCCAGCGCUCAAUCUAUGGGCUGGUGCAAGCAUCUCGGAGUUGGAACAUUCGCUUUGAUGAGAUGAUCAAAGCGUUUGGGUUUACACAGACUUAUGGAGAAGGCUGUGUUUACAAGAAAGUGAGUGGGAGCUCUGUAGCAUUUCUCAUAUUAUAUGUGGAUGACAUACUAUUGAUGGGAAAUGAUAUAGAAUUCUUGGAAAGUAUAAAGGCCUAUUUGAAUAAGUGUUUUUCAAUGAAGGACCUUGGAGAAGCUGCUUAUAUAUUAGGCAUCAAGAUCUAUAGAGAUAGAUCGAGACGCCUCAUUGGUCUUUCACAGAGUACAUACCUUGACAAGAUAUUGAAGAAGUUCAAUAUGGAUCAGUCCAAGAAGGGGUUCUUGCCUGUAUUGCAAGGUGUGCAAUUGAGCACGGCUCAAUGCCCGACCACGGCAGAAGAUAUAGAAAAGAUGAGUGUCAUCCCCUAUGCCUCGGCCAUAGGGUCUAUUAUGUAUGCCAUGCUAUGUACCAGACCUGAUGUAAACCUUGCCGUAAGUUUGGUAGGAAGGUACCAAAGUAAUCCCGGCAUGGAACACUGGACAGCGGUCAAGAAUAUCCUAAAGUACCUGAAAAGGACUAAGGAUAUGUUUCUCGUUUAUGGAGGUGACGAAGAGCUCGUCGUAAAGGGUUACGUCGACGCUAGCUUCGACACAGAUCCGGAUGACUCGAAGUCACAAACCGGAUACGUGUAUAUUUUGAAUGGAGGAGCAGUAAGCUGGUGCAGUUGCAAGCAAAGCGUCGUGGCGGGAUCUACAUGUGAAGCGGAGUACAUGGCAGCCUCGGAGGCAGCACAGGAAGCAGUCUAGAUGAAGGAGUUCAUUACCGACCUAGGGGUGAUUCCCAAUGCGUCGGGCCCGAUGACUCUCUUCUGUGACAACACUGGAGCUAUUGCCCUUGCGAAGGAGCCCAGGUUUCACAGGAAGACCAGGCAUAUCAAGCGUCGCUUCAACUCCAUUCGUGAAAGUGUUCAAAAUGGAGACAUAGAUAUUUGUAAAGUACAUACGGACCUGAAUGUAGCAGAUCCGUUGACUAAACCUCUCCCUAGAGCAAAACAUGAUCAACACCAGGACGCAAUGGGUGUUCGAUUCAUCACAAUGUAACUAGAUUAUUGACUCUAGUGCAAGUUGGAGACUGUUGGAAAUAUGCCCUAGAGGCAAUAAUAAAUGGUUAUUAUUAUAUUUCUUUGUUCAUGGUAAUUGUCUAUUAUUCAUGCUAUAAUUGUGUUAUCCGGAAAUCGUAAUACAUGUGUGAAUACAUAGACCACAACGUGUCCCUAGUAAGCCUCUAGUUGACUAGCUCGUUGAUCAACCGAUAGUCAUGGUUUCCUGACUAUGGACAUUGGAUGUCAUUGAUAACGGGAUCACAUCAUUAGGAGAAUGAUGUGAUGGACAAGACCCAAUCCUAAGCAUAGCAUAAAGAUCGUGUAGUUUCGUUUGCUAGAGCUUUUCCAAUGUCAAGUGUCUUUUCCUUAGACCAUGAGAUCGUGCAACUCUCGGAUACCGUAGGAGUGCUUUGGGUGUGCCAAACGUCACAACGUAACUGGGUGACUAUAAAGGUGCACCACGGGUAUCUCCGAAAGUAUCUGUUGGGUUGGCACGGAUCGAGACUGGGAUUUGUCACUCCGUGUGACGGAGAGGUAUCCCUCCCCCCCCCCCUUUGGCUUGUGGGNNNNNNNNNNNNNNNNNNNNNNNNNNNNNNNNNNNNNNNNNNNNNNNNNNNNNNNNNNNNNNNNNNNNNNNNNNNNNNNNNNNNNNNNNNNNNNNNNNNNNNNNNNNNNNNNNNNNNNNNNNNNNNNNNNNNNNNNNNNNNNNCCCCUGGCGCCUCCCUCUCCCCCUGCUACACCUCUCCUUCUCGCAGAAGCUCGGCGAAGCCCUGCCGAGACCCGCUACAUCCACCACCACGCCGUCGCGCUGCUGGAUCUCCAUCAACCUCUCCUUCCCCCUUGCUGGAUCAAGAAGGAGGAGACGUCGCUGCACCGUAUGUGUGUUGAACGCGGAGGUGCCGUCCGUUCGGCACUCGGUCAUCGGUGAUUUGAAUCACGACGAGUACGACUCCGCCAUCCACGUUCAUUGGAACGCUUCCGCUCGCGAUCUACAAGGGUAUGUAGAUGCAACCCUUUCCCCUCGUUGCUAGUAUACUCCAUAGAUGCAUCUUGGUGAGCGUAGGAAAAUUUUAAAAUUAUGCUACGAUUCCCAACACACCAUCCGUACACAUGUGUACCAACAAAGAAAACCAAGGCAAAGUCCACAUAGCUUUCCCGUGUCAACAUACAUGAAACCCGAUUCAUCACACGUCUGUAGCUUGGCUUUCCUUUUCUUUUCCCAUGGUAGCAUCACGAUCUGACUAAGUCCUUAUGUCUUAUUUUAUUUUAUUUUUCAAACAAAUCACGUUCCGUUGCAUCCCUUUAGCCCUCCUGCGUACAUCGCCACGCACCAGCAGCCACUUGCACUGUAGCCCACUUGGAUCAAUCCCAGUCUCGUGGCUCAUAGCCCAGACCAUAGAUGCCCCUUGGGCCAGCGUUAUUGUUGCAAUCGAGUGGGCCUCCACGCCAUGGCCCAUCAGGCGCUCAUCCAGCACGUACACGCGCAGCCUGACGCUCGCCCGACCGAUCCAUGUGAUCGAUCGCCGCACGUCACGACAAUUCUGCCGAUUGCUGCCACCUCGGUCAUUCGUGCCCUACUGGACCACGCGCUACCGCCAGGUCCUUGGCCACCGUACGCCGAGCGCUCCACACGAAAUCAAUCCAAGUCGCCGCCCGUUCUGCUAAUCUCGCCGAGACGCCACUUGAUGCCGCUCUUGCCUCCCGAUUGCCCUGCUCUACCGCUGUUCCAUCGACGCCUCCCCGCGGCGACCAUGUCGACGAACACCGCGAUAUCCAUCAUCUAGAUCAACAAUCUGCAGCCUCCUCGUAGCCUUGCUCUGAUACCACUUGUUAGAAUAAAUCCGAGGCAUAUCGUCGAUCAUCCGAGGACAAUGCAAUCACACGAGCACGACUCCGAGAUUUGUUAACGAGGUUCGCCGAUAUGGCUACAUCCCCGGGGCCUGACUACGGGCGUCCUCCCCGUGACACCGUCACAAUACCGCACACCGGCCACUCGGGCGCCGGCACACGCCGCCGGCUCCCCCUUGCGCGUCUGUGCUAUUAUGUUGGCAUAGGUUACAUCGUGUGUCUACCCCUGCUACCUCUUGAGCACUGCGUUGGUUUUCCCUUGAAGAGGAAAGGGUGAUGCAGUAAAGUAGUGUAAGUAUUUCCCUCAGUUUUUGAGAACCAAGGUAUCAAUCCAGUAGGAGACCACGCUCGAGUCCCACGCACCUACACAAACAAAUAUUAACCUCACAACCAACGCGAUAAAGGGGUUGUCAAUCCCUUCACGGUCACUUACGAGAGUGAGAUCUAAUAGAGAUGAUAAGAUAAUAUUUUUGGUAUUUUUAUGGUAAAGAGUAAAAGUAAAGAAAGCAAAAUAAACGGCGCCAGAAAUAGCUAGUUGUUGGGAGAUUAAUAUGAUGGAAAACAGACCCGAGGGCCAUAGGUUUCACUAGUGGCUUCUCUCAAGAUAGCAUAAGUAUUACGGUGGGUAAACGAAUUACUGUCGAGCAAUUGAUAGAAUUGAGCAUAGUUAUGAGAAUAUUUAGGUAUGAUCAUGUAUAUAGGCAUCACGUCCGUGAGAAGUAGACCGACUCCUGCCUGCAUCUACUACUAUUACUCCACACAUCGACCGCUAUCUAGCAUGCAUCUAGAGUAUUAAGUUCAUAAGAACAGAGUAACGCGUUAAGCAAGAUGACAUGAUGUAGAGGGAUAAACUCAUGCAAUAUGAUAUAAACCCCAUCUUUUUAUCCUCGAUGGCAACAAUACAAUACGUGUCGUUUCCCCUACUGUCACUGGGAUCGAGCACCGCAAGAUUGAACCAAAAGCUAAGCAAUUCUUCCAUUGCAAGAAAGAUCAAUCUAGUAGGCCAAACCAAACUGAUAAUUCGAAGAGACUUGCAACGAUAAUCAAUCAUACAUAAAAGAAUUCAGAGGAGAUUCAAAUAUUGUUCAUAGAUAAUCUUGAUCAUAAACCCACAAUUCAUCGGAUCUCGACAAAUACACCGCAAAAAGAAGAGUUACAUCAAAUAGAUCUCCAAGAGAAUCGAGAAGAACUUUGUAUUGAGAUGCAAAGAGAGAGAAGAAGCCAUCUAGCUAAUAACUAUGGACCCGAAGGUCUGAUGUAAACUACUCACACAUCAUCGGAGAGGCUAUGGUGUUGAUGUAGAAGCCCUCCGUGAUCGAUGCCCCCUCCGGCGGAGCGCCAGAAAAGGCCCCAAGAUGGGAUCUCACGGGUACAGAAGGUUGCGGUGGUGGAAAUAGGGUUUUGGCUCCUCUGCUAAUGGUUUGGGGGUACGUAGGUAUAUAUAGGAGGAAGAAGUAGGUCGGUGGAGCUACGAGGGGCCCACGAGGGUGGAGGGCGCGCCCAGGGGGGUAGGCGCGCCCCCCUGCCUCGUGGCCUCCUUGUUGAUUGCUUGACAUCCACUCCAAGUCCUCUGGAUCACGUUUAUUCCGAAAAUCACGUUCCUGAAGGUUUCAUUCUGUUUGGACUCGGUUUGAUAUUCCUUUCCUUCGAAACACUGAAAUAGGCAAAAAGAACAGCAAUUUGGGCUGAGCCUCCAGUUAAUAGGUUAGUCCCAAAAAUAAUAUAAAAGUGUAUAAUAAAGCCCAUUAAACAUCCAAAACGGAAUAUAAUAUAGCAUGGAACAAUAAAAAAUUAUAGAUACGUUGGAGACGUAUCAACCCCCACUAUAUAUGAGAGGCCUAGGAUACAGGUGUCCUACUAGGACACGACUUCACAUCCUAUGUAAACACAAUACAACUCAUAGUCCAACUGUAACCUACCCUGUACACAAUAUUCAACACAACUCUAACAAAUAGGAUGAAAUUUUUUAAUGUUUGAGAGGAUGGCAUUUUUUAUUGGCAUUGUAGGUUUUUUUUCAUGCUUAUCCACAUAAAACUUUUUAUCUAGAGGAUGGUAGUUUUAUAAAGUAGCACGACAUUUUUUAUUCAAAGCAUAAAAUUUUCUAGAAUUAUGGACUUUGCGCUUUCUCAUGUCCAUGGCAUUUUUAUCCCGGGAUGGCAGUUUUAAAGUUUAGAAUGAUUUUUUAGUUUUGCAGUUCAUACAACCAUUUUUAAUCAUACUCAUUGUAUUUUUUAUGAAACUGGGGACAUGCAGUUUUUUCAUUAGCCGGAUCAUGACAAUUACGUUUUUUUUGUUGAUGGCAUUUUUCCGAAAAAAGGUAAAUUGGGCCUCUGGGCCAAACGUUAGUCGUGCUGGAGGACGCAACCAGCGAACCACUCAAAACGUUCGCUGGAGAGUGCCUCCCCUAGCGAACCAAUUGUUCGCCCGCUCUCUAGCUGACGAUCACCAGUUAUAAAGGGUCCUCAAUGCAAUAUAAUAAACUAAAUUUCAUUAUCAUUUCUAGAAUUUUGCAAAUUAUUUUUUUGGUUAUUGUUUCACAUUUUAAAUUUUAAAUAUAGAACUUACCAAAAAAAUGAAAGAGAAAACAGAUUGACCGAAAACAAAUUUUGAGCUAAUUUCAUCUUGCACAGAGUCCCGAGUAGGAGGACUCAUGUUUAUUCUAAAAAAAUAGGAGACCAACUAAUCAAAGGAUACCCUCUUGGGGGACCCAUCGGUCAUUUUUGGUGGGCUAGAAGCACAUCACUUGGUUCGCCCCUACCGCCAUCAUGUGUUACACGAUGGGCAGACCCUCGGGUUUUCAGUUUGGGUUUUCUGGUUUUGUUUGGUUGUUUUGGCUUUUCGGCCUUUUCUUGGUCUUCCAAGGUUUUGGUGCAACUUAUUUUUAAGGAUGCAGUGCUUUUCCGCGAGAAGCACAUUUGUGCUGGGAAGACUUUUACUACUACAAGAAGGACAACCUACACUUUCACGAGAAGCACACCUAUACUUCCUGAAAAGGAAAGAGCCAGUUGUGCUUCCAGAAAAAUGAAAAAAAAACACAGCCCGUGCUUUCAGAUAAAAAACAUAGCCUAUGCUUUCGCAAGAAGCACAACUAUGCUUUCCAAGAAGGGAAAAGCACAUGUGUGCUUUCCAAAAACAAGUGCAACGCUCAACUGUGCUUUGGUGGUUUUUGACUUAAUAUUUUUGGUUUUGCUAUUUUUUGGUUUUCAAAUUUCUUUUGUUUCCAGUUUUGGGACUUUUUUAUUUCCCUUUUUUGUUACAAAAGUUUGUCGAAAUAUAUUAACAUGGUAUCUUUUUCCGAAGAUCUGGUCGCCAGAAAUGUAAUGGUGAAAACGAUUCGUGAUUUGAACGCACAGUUCAAGAGAUAAAAUGUUUCAAAAUAAAUAUAUGAAAAAAAGACAAAACUUCCAGGUAGUGACAAUUGGCGCACAUGCAGUAUGCUACAUGUCACAAUCAGAGAAGGUGGGAGUGACCUCUGCACGGGAUAUCCUCUAAUUAGUGAUCAAAAGAAUCAUAUUCUGUCGGGCGCGACUAUGUCUUGCUCUAUGUGAGAUAGUACCUUAGCUCGCCUACAGGAAGCUAGUAGUGUGCUGACCCAAUAGCCAUGUUAGUUCGUAACGGUGAUGUCAUGUGCAUGUUUUUGUUUUUAUUUUAUUUAGAAAGUACUAAGUAAAUUACAAAACAUAAUAUAUUUAACUUUUAGAAAAGUGUUCGUACCACAUUUAAAAAAUGUACCUGCAAUGAAAAAAAAUGGUCACUUGACUUUUAGAAAAUGUUGGUACCAUUCAACAAAAGUAUCAGACAUUCAAAAAUGUUCAUGCAUUCAAAAAAAAUAUGCAAUAGUAAAACAAUGUCAGGUAAUUAAAAAAAUCUUAUGAGACUUUCAAAAAAGGUACGCUACAUUCUAAAUAAUGUUCAAGUGUUUCAAAAAUAUGUUUAUGGUUUUUAAAGGAUUAUAAAACGUAAUUAAUUUUCGCACAAUUUAACAAAAUGUAUUGUACCAUUCAUAAAAAAUGUUUCAUGUGUAUUUGGAAAACAAGUUAACCCUUAUACACAAUUGUUUAAAUAUUUGUUUUAAAAAUGUUAAUAAUGUUUUUAGAAAUUGUUAAAUGUGCAUAAAAAUGAUUUAGAUGUAUAAGAAAUCCGUCGCAAAACAGAGAAAAAAAACAGACGUUGCUGCUACAUUACUUGGCUGGGCAGUGGCACUGCUGCAGAGGCCAGCCGCUGUUACGUCUCACAGCGAGCGAGAAAUAACUACCGCGUGUUAUGCCUUUUUUUUUAGACAAACCGUGUGCUGGUGGCGUGCUGCCUGCUACAAGAGCAGUUACCCGGCCCAAGUCAAAGCAGGCUGGUGGAUUGUUGCCACUAAAUAAGCAAUAUCAGUUUCCGUCCGGGCUGCGUGCCGUUGCUCCUAUCUCUUUUCGAUUGGGGCGCCCCUAUAGAGAAAAUGUUUAUCACCUAUAGGAAAAAAAAUACAUAAAAUUUGAUGUAUUUAAAAAAUGUUAAUCAAGCAUCUGAAAAAUAUUUAAACAAGUAUUUAAAAAAUGUUGAUCAAGCUUUUGAAAAAUAUUAAAUGUGUAUAGCAAAAAUAUUGACCUGAAUGUUAGUCAAGCAUUUGAAAAAAAUUAAACAAUUUGAAAAAUGUUGAUGAAUCAUUUUUUUUAGGGAAAUCAUGAGAGCUUUAUUCAACAAAGGCACUUCUGUGAGAGUCUACUAGAAGACUGCUCACCAGAAACGAAGGAGUGGAGAACAAAAAAUGUUAAAUGUGUAUAGCAAAAAUGUUGACCAUGUAUUAAAAAAUGAUAAAAAAUAUUAUCAUGUAUAUAAAAAUGGGAUCAAGCAUUUAAAAAAUAUUAAAUGUGUAUACGAAAAAUGUUGACCAUGUAUUAAAAAUGAUGAUUUUUUAUCAUGUAUAUAAAAAUGUUAAUCAAGCAUUUGUAAAGAUGUUGAACAAGUAUUUGAAUAAUGUUAAUCAAGCAUUUGAACAAUGCUAAAUGUGUAUAGAAAACUGUUGAGCAUGUAUAAAAAAAUUAAAUUUUUUUGUUCAUGUAUAUAAGAAAUAUUAAAAAACAUUUGAAAAAAAUAGAGAACAAGUAUUUGAAAAUUUUUACUCAAGCAUUUGGAAAAUGUUAAAUGUGUAUAAAAAAUGUGGGCAGCUCUUGGAGGGUUUUUUCCCUUCUAACGGCCAUAAAGCGACUACUGCCCUAAAAUAGGGCAAUUGUUGGAAAUGCUCUUAGGGCAUCUCAAAAGCAUCCCCAGUUUACCCCCAUUUUCAAACGGGGCGGUGAGGGGCUAAGCGAAGGGGUUGGGUGGGGUGUCAGUGCGUGUGGCACCCCAUUGGGAAACAGAGGGCUCCGGUGUGGGCGGAAGGUAGGGGAGAAACCAACCGCAUUGGGUUGCGAAGUGGCACGCAGUUUGGUUUUCUAAGCAAGUAGUGUUUUAGUUUCCCCACUCCUCUCCUUUUAUGCUCCUCACAUAUUCUUCUCUCUUUUGUUCUCUCGGUCUUCCUUGUUGACAGUUUCGUGAGAGCGUUUUCAACGUAGGAUUCUCUGAUAUUUUGAUUCUAUAAUUGUGCAUUACUUUCUGUUUGUAAGUGGGACUCAAUUUCACUCUUCAAUUCUUUUUGUUUCCUUAUUAUUUUGUUUUUUAAUUGAAGUAAACGUGUUGUGUCCAUCAAAUCUCUGUGGUUCACAUUCCAGAAUCAUGAAUCCUAGCAAGACCCUCGGCGAGAGUGAAAAUGCUAAGGUAAUUUUGUUCAUCUUCUGUGCUAGUUUGUACUGUAUGGGGCCUUUUUUAUUUAGUGGAAAAUUAGGGGGAAAUCAUAUUAGUAAGAAAAUUUUCCUAUGGUGACACUACUCGUCCGCUUGAUUCAAAAGAAAGGACUGUAGAAAAAUUAGAUGAAUUUUUCCUUCUGAUUGAGUUUUUCUCUCUCAAAUAAAAUUGAAAGACUUUAGCUUAAAUAUUUCUUAAAGUGAAAGUCCAUGUUCCUUCCACCAAAUGUCGUGUCACUAUAUUUGCAUAGUUAUGAAUUUUUUCCUUAAGAUCCAUACAUAUAGUAUGUUUCGAUGUUGGAGCACAGUGCAACUAUGAUUUUGUUUUUAUAAUUCGUUCAACUAUCAUUUGUUUUCCACAUGUCAAUUGGGAAAAGGCCUAGAGGUAUGACUGGUGAUAUACCAUCUCGAAGCAAGUGCAGUCAGAAUGUGGACGGUGAGGUAAAUUUGUCUUUUGGUCUCCUGCUUGUGUUUGUGUUUGCUCUGGGACAAUUUUAUCAUUGAGUUUCAUUUGAUGGUCUCACAUGCUCUUAGUUUUCUCUAGCUUAGGUUGGUACUUACAAAUAUAUGUUGUUCUUAGAUGAAUAGUAAUGAUGCAAAACAUCUGCUCCUAGAUUUGGUAAUUGCCCAUAUUUUUUUAGUGUGCUGAUGUGGGCAUCAUAUAUACUUUAAUAAUUGAUCCGCACUACUUCCAUUAUCUUUUUUAGGGGUACUAGUUCUGUAGUCUUAAGAUGCACCAUGCCACCUCAUCAAAUGCCUGUCACAGCAUGCAUGGGAAAUAGUUUUCCAUUAUUAGUUGAAUAUAAAUUAACCAUUUCUUAUCCAUGUUUCAUACAACCAAAUACCAUUGAAAUAUAUUGCAUCUGAUUAGCACAACAACUUGAGGGGUAUCAUUCAGUUUAUCUAAUUUAUUUAUUUUGUUUAUUUUCCUUUUUCAGUUGUAUGUUCGUCCUCCUGAGGUCAUGAAUAUAGCUUAUGCCACAAAGCUUCAUCUGUAUGUAGAAUAUGGUGUUGUCGACAAUGUUGCCAUAUUCAAGGUCAGGAGCACCAUUUUUUCACCUGCCUGCAUUGUUGCCUAUGCUCUCCAUCACCUUUUAGCUAGGUCAUUGGAACUUCAGGGUUGUUGAUCAUUAUGUCAAGGAUGUUGUUCUUGUUAAAUUCAAGAGUGCAUUCUCUACUUCCCGUCUUCGUGGCGCCAACUUGAAGCAAGGCACCAUCACCCAACGGCCAACAAUUAUGAUGGAAACCAAGGUUGCAUAGCUCAGGACCCAUGUUCCAGGAUUGUAUGGCCUAAUGCCGACUGAGAUCAUGCCUCCUCUUCUAACGAAGAAAGUGAUGAUUUUGCCGAUGGAUGAGCCUGUGGUGCUGGAGAUGCUGGAGGAGGUGCUAGAGUAGGUGAUGCCAUUGUUGUUGCUUGAACCCUAUGAUUAUGUUUAGGUGUUGGGAUUUGUGAUGUUUAGGACUUUACUUUGUUGUGUCUUAUAGAACUUGUAUCUUGUUGUAAGUGGUAUUGUAUGUUAACGCAUGUGAUAUUUUAUGGAAUAGUUUGCUAAUUUUUGAAUAGUAGUUUAUGUGAAUUUCUGUUUUGGGGUGGGUCCAAAAUGAAAUGAAAUAGAGAACCCUGAAGAUAAAAUGGAGACGGCUCUUAAGGGGAAACUGCCUACGUGGCUGAAAACAUUAGAAGCGGCUGGUAUUUCGCAAUCGCUUCUGGAAACUGCCUCCGGUGGACGGAGUAUUAGAGACACAAGUUUUGAGGCGGUACAAGGAACCGCCGGUGGGCCAUGAACAAAACCACCACCAAAGAUUGUUUCUGUACUAGUGCUAGUGUAAAAUAAAACAGAUAGUGAAAACAACCUCACUAGUAAUUUGCAUAACAUGGCCAUCGAACGUCACUUUUUUCUAGGUAACCCAAAUCCCCAAGAAAACAACCGAGAUACGCAACAUAUAAUAUUUCUCUUUUCCAGGAACAAAAGCAUAAAAGCCAGACCAUCGCUUGCCAGAGAGAGUUGGGACAACAUUUCGCCCCAAAGAGCUUCCCAAUUGUACCCCAAAAAGAGCGAGCGGCAGCACAAGUGAAAGAAAAAUGAUUAGUUGAUUCAGUCGAAUCACACAUGGAACAAACAAGAUUUCCUGACCAUUUCCUUUUUACCGUAUUAUCCCGCGUUAAGAUGGCUUUACGAUAUGAUUGCGACAUGAAGAUUUUAGUGUUAAGAGGACCAUGAGCUUUCCAAAUCUACUUAUUACUAGCUCCAGCACAUCUUUCUCAAGCUAUUGGUAACCAGUUUGGUGGAAAACUUGCCGUAUUUCGCAACGACCAAUUAACACAAUCAAAGACAUUUGUUAGAGAAUUUUCACCUGCCCUAUGGAGGAUUCCACACCGCUAAUUCUGUUGCUCCAGGCUCACUAUGCUACGAAAGUUCAGUAAAAAAUUCUUACCACCGGCCUCAGCAAAACUACAAGGCGAAGCAAAAUGUCAUGAAGCUGAGGAACUGAUCCACUAGAGGGACCCCCCUAGCCAAGCAUCAUGCCAAAAAUGUAUGAGGUUUGCCACUGUUUAAUGUCACUUUUCUACCAGACAUGUACACAUCUUUAACCUUCAUAAUUGAUUUCCAAUAAGAAGAAUCUGAGAAAUCUAGGCUUCACUGAAGCCACCGUUUUAUUCCAGAAAUAUUUGGCUCUAACAAUAGACUGGCACAAGACAAUAUUAUUCUCUGAUUUCCACCACCAGUUAACUAGUUGGUUGAUGUUUUGCUUUCUCAAGACAAUAACACGAAGUCCCCCCUUAUUCUUAGAUUUAUAAAUCACUUUCCAUUUAACCAUAUGAUAUAUAUUUUUCCUUAAACUCCCACCUUCCCAAAAGAAUUUCCUCCUAGGUUUGUCCAGUUUCUUUAACGAAGUUUUAUUCAGCAUGAACAUACACAUGAAAAAAGAAAGGGAUACCAGUCAAGCUAGAAUUGAUGAGAAUAACUCUACCUCCAGAAGAGGAGCCACCUUUUCAAAUGUCCAACCUUUUCAACAUCUUAGCUAGCAGGAAAUGAUAGUCAAUAGUCUUAAGCUCAGGAAAAAAAUAACAGGAACCACUAAAUAUUUCAUAGGCAAGGAACAUAUCAGCAUAAAAUUCAGUAACACUAUUAUCAGCCCCAAUAGAUAAAAACAUCAAAAACAUAAAGCAACAACUUAAGGUUUUAAGCUUUCUCAGGGUCAUGAAUAGUACAUAACACGUGUCAUCCGCAUAUUGACAAACAUUAACCCCAUUAUCAAUCAAGUCCGGAGCUAAACCCACAAGAAAUUUGUUUCUGAAGAUGAAAAUAUGAAGAAAAAAUGAUAGCAAUGGCAGGCAUGCUGAGCAAUCUUCAAAUCAUCAUUAAGAAAAUACAUGGUACAUGGCCGGUUCGAAGAGCCACCACGUUACCUUCGAGAACGACCAUACACGUUGCAACGAUCUCCACUGUGCAGCUCUCCAAAUUCAGAACAAGACAUGUGCAUUCUAUCCGAUCGAUUUGGAUGUGCAGCUACAUUCAUGCACCCGUGUCACAAUAGUAUGAUAAUAUCUACCGGAGCUGAUCGGUGCGUGCAUGCAUGACGCCGGGUCGAACUUCGUUGCGUUUCCUCACCGCUGCGCAAGGUGUCUGCUAGACGUUGAUGCAUGCCGUCCAUCUCCCAACCGGUAACGCGCGCUCUUGCCCCACCAACGGGGCCCUUCGCACGUCCAUGUAGUGCACAUGUUGCCGACAACCAUGCAUGGAUUCAUGGAGGAGAGGAGAGCCGAGAGCGCAGCCUCAACUUGGUCACAGCUCCUCCUAUCCUAUCCAUACCCCCAUUGGCCUCUCCCGCGCGCCUAUAAAUUGGCUUCGUCGUCAUGGGUAUCUACCUCAUCCAUCACACAAGCUAGCUACUAGCUACUAGAAAGUACUUACUGCUCAAUCGGUCGAUGAGGGUGUCAAGCAUGGCGUCCAAGGGUCUCGUUGUGUUUGCUGUCCUGCUUGCUGCGGCUUUCCUCGUGGCCACAGCUGAACAAACUCGUGAGCUAGCUAGCAGCGCAUCAUUAGGCUAAGAAACCUGUUGUCCUACUAAUCACAUGAAUACCGUUUUUGUUCAUGCAGAGGCCAAGAAGGAAGAAACUAAGGCCGGUGUUCAGGGUUACCACGGCGGCGGCAGCGGAGGCGGUGGCUACCAUGGCGGCGGCGGCGGCGGGGGGUACCCUGGCCACGGAGGCGGCGGCGGCGGCGGGGGGUACCCUGGCCACGGGGGCGGCGGCGGCGGCGGCGGGUACCCUGGCCACGGUGGCGGCGGAGGCGGCGGCGGCUACCCUGGCCACGGUGGCGGCGGCGCCUACCCUGGCCACGGUGGCGGCGGCGGCGGCGGCGGCUGCAGGUACCAGUGCUGUGGGCACGGGCAUGGUGGCUGCCGCUGCUGCGCAAGCCCCAACGAGAUCCCGGAGCCCAUGUAUCGGGCGGAGGUCCGCAACUAAGUGCCAGAUGCUCCACACGGACGUUGCUACUUGCCUGCACGUAGUAACUACUCGUAUAUGUGGUCAAUAAGAAGGUAGGUGCAUGUAUGUAUGUACGCGUACGUACAGAUUGCACAGUUAUGUUUAUCCAAUAAUACCAGAACUCUGUUCUGAUCGUGUAUUCACCCUGUAAGACUUCUCUUUCUUGCACAAUAUAUAAUACAUGCAACUGUCAUGCAUGUUAUAAUAACAAAAUAUCAUGACUCUUGUUCGAAACCGUAUACUAACUCGUAUACAAAUCCGAGGUAUAAAAUUAACCACAUAUAGUUUUGAGAGCGCAGCCGUCUGCGACGUGAGGUUAUGUCAAAGAACAGUCUUUGAUAUUGUUUUUUAGGAAUAUAUUUCGAGGUUUAGCUAGGCUUGCCCGAACACACCUCUCCAGCGAUGAUGUACAGAAAGCAGCACAAAGUGGCAGUAGCGAGCACAAAUUCAUUCACAUCACAAAGAUAAUACAAAAAAAAAGCAUUGAGAACGAUUACAAAUAUUUUUACUGUGCACAUAACGCAAUCCCGCCAAAUGUACUACUCCCACCGAUUUAAAUUACAAAGUUGUACUAAAACUGUAUCAAUUAGUUUGAAUCGAAGGGAGUAUCACAGUUCACCUCCUGGUCUUGCUCAUUUUUUAUUAAUGGAAUUCGGCAUGUGGUUUGUAUGAUUUCUCUAAGAAAGAAUUCGGCAACAUUUUCUUGUAGUACAUUAUACAUUUGUGUCUCAUACACACAGAACCACACCAGGUUCUUCCUUCCCUUACUCUGGUCGGAGACAGGUGCUACAACCAUGAAAACGUUUCGGGCCAUCAGUUAAUGUUUUUCUAAAGUUUUCACUGAAGUUUGUACCAAUAGGCUUGCCCUAAUCAUGGAUAGGCUUAUCUCUAGCUAGUAAGUACUUCCCUCCGUCCCAUAAUAUAAGAGCGUUUUUGACACUACACUAGUGUAAAAAAAGCUCUUAUAUUAUGGGACGGAGGGAGUAGUAAGCAGUCUGCUUCAUUAAGGGUGCUAUAUAUUACAGAGAGUGUAACAGCUCAUGAAGCCAUCCACUCUUUGGCUAAAUCCCAUGACAAAGGAGUAGUGCUUGAACUAAUUACGAGAAAGCUUUUGAUAGAGCAAAUCUAGAUUUCCUUGUUGAGCUGUUGGAACUUAUUAUAGGCUUUGGCUGUAAAUGGCCAGAUUGGGUCCAUAAAAUGACUCAUGAUGGAUCCGUAGGUGUCCGGGCUGAAACUUAAUAGUGAAGAAAGUGGCCUUUUUAACUAGAACUAGACAAUUGUCCGUGCGUUGCAACAGGAAUAUAAACAUUCUAGUAGAUUAGCUGAUGACUGCGUGUCUAUUAUUAUAUUGAUGCGCUAAAUCUUAGCAAGUUUUUGUAUGCAAUCGCCAUGAUUUACCUGCCAUUUUAUUGUUAGACACUUAUUUGAUAAGAAUUUAAUUACUUACCAAACAAAAUGUGGUUUUUUUGGGAAAAAACAUGAGACAAUAGAUUCUAUUUUAGGGAGAAUGGAUGCGAGAAAAUCAGAGAUGAGAGAAAAAAUCAAAGAGGAGAAGGAAAGAGUAGAACAUAUAUAAGGAAGGUUAGACAAAAGAGACGUGAAAUGGGAACAUUACGUUCUUUUUAAGUAGUAGAGAAAAGUCUAAAACAAGGAUANNNNNNNNNNNNNNNNNNNNNNNNNNNNNNNNNNNNNNNNNNNNNNNNNNNNNNNNNNNNNNNNNNNNNNNNNNNNNNNNNNNNNNNNNNNNNNNNNNNNNNNNNNNNNNNNNNNNNNNNNNNNNNNNNNNNNNNNNNNNNNNNNNNNNNNNNNNNNNNNNNNNNNNNNNNNNNNNNNNNNNNNNNNNNNNNNNNNNNNNNNNNNNNNNNNNNNNNNNNNNNNNNNNNNNNNNNNNNNNNNNNNNNNNNNNNNNNNNNNNNNNNNNNNNNNNNNNNNNNNNNNNNNNNNNNNNNNNNNNNNNNNNNNNNNNNNNNNNNNNNNNNNNNNNNNNNNNNNNNNNNNNNNNNNNNNNNNCCCUCAGGCUUCGCUGGCGAGCCUGUGGAUUAGCCUUUCCUCUGGCUGCCCAUCCAGCUAGUGGUGGCGGGGAGGGAAAUCUCAGUGCCUUUGCUCUGGCUAGUAGUUUUGGUGAGGGUCCUCACAGGUGCAAUGCUCGGGUGUAUGGCGGCGCUUCUUCUUUGACUUUGUCUUCCAGGCUCCGAACCUCCUUGAGAUCGUCCAUCUUGACGUAGUCGAUCGAGCUUUGGCAUAGAUUCUCGGGGUCUCCUAGGGGCUGGGAGGUUAGGGUUUACCGUCGUAUGUGUGCGACAACAAGAUUUGGUGUCAAUUGCUUCAGAUCUAUUCAAGGGUUCACGUGCAUGAAGACUUCCUGCCUGUCAUCAACAAGGUCAAGCUAGCUCCGGUAGUGAAGCAGUGAUAGAAACGUGUGACACCUGACUUAAUAGGAAUGAUAGACUACUCAUAUCAAUAAGGAAUUCCUUCUUUCCCGGGUGCUCAUUCACAAAGAACUCCAAAGUUAAGUGUGUUUGGAUUGGAACGAUUUGAGGAUGGUGACCGACUGAGAAGUUGAUCCCGAGUGCACACGAGUGAGGACGAAGUGCGCAAGAAAGACUAGUGUUGGUCUGUGGGACCAAUUUAGAUCCCGCCGGGCGUAACAGUCGGGAAACGGUGGUUGUGGUCAGGGCAUUAUAAUUGGUAUCAGAGCCGACUCUUGUGGUUACACAGACAUGUGCGCGCCAGGUGCAUGGACAUGUGGCAUGUGUGGCCCGUCGUGGCACAUGACAUGACACAUGAGCCGGACUGGACGGACAAACGUGUGCCUAGAGGGAAAGUUCCUGUGGGCCGACAAGGACGACGGUUCUUUUGAGUGAGGGUGUACGUGAGAGCCUGGCGUAAUAGGAAUGAUUGACUACUCAUAUCAACAACUUCUUUCCUGGGAGCUCAUUCACAAAGAACCCCAAAGUGAAGUGUACUUGGUUUCAAGCGAUUUGAGAAUGGGUGACCGGCUGGGAAGUUGACCCGGUUACGCACGAGUGAGAACAAAGCGUGCAAAAGAGACAAGUGUUAGUCUGUAGGGCCGGUCUAGAUCCCGCCGGACGUAACGGCCGGGAUCUGAUGAUUGUGGCCGGGGCGUUAAAAAUGGCGGUAAAACUUGGAACAAAGUUAUAACUUAGGGUAAAAAAUGAAAUUAACUCUAACAGAAAAUUCAGAAAGUCAAGAAACAUACAAGUGUAUUAUUUCUUGCAACCAGCGAGCGAGCGAGAAACGCAAGUUCAGAUAAAAAGUCGUAAGUUUCAUCGACUGAAACUUAAAACUUACUGUAUUCUCAUGCGAGAUUAAACUACUUUGCAAAUCACGAAACAAUCGAGCGACCAGGCAGGUCCGGUAGAUGGGGGUGUGUGGUACGUGGCCUUGGAUAACGAUUUCGUAAGUUCACUGUGCGUACAUAAGUGAACGACGGGGAGAUGAUAGUGGGCUAGUGGCUGCUUCAAAGACUACCCACCACGUACGAACGUUUCAGCGAUGCUCCACCUCCGGUAAUGUACCGGUUUCCAAAUGCAGAAGAAGAUAUCCGAUCCAGAAUAUGCUCUCGGCUGAUUUGGAUGUACAUGCGUCCGUGUCUAACUUGACCCACAGCUGAUUAAUGAGAUUGACGCGUUGCGUGCAUGCAAUGGAAGACGCCGGGUACGACUUUGUCGUCGCACGAACGGUGCCCACCUGCACCGCGCAUAGUCCAGUUAAGUCAGAGGCUGGCGCCAUUGGUAAUCCUGCAGAUGAUGCGAGCUUAGCUUGCUUGGAUGCUAGAUUGCUGGGAUGCAUUAAUGUGUACCGUCCACCUUCCAACCACCACCGCUCCACGGGGUCCGCGUUGCCGACGACACCCAGAGACCCCAGCGUCAACUGGCUCACCUCACACUCACUGCUCCUCCCUAGCUAGCCAUCUUAUCCAAGCCCUCCAUUGGCCUCUCCCUCCUAUAAAUUGGUUUGCUCUGCAUGCUAAUCUAUAUCCUCCAUCACACUAGCCACUAGAAGCACUGAAGAAGCAGAGGGUGUCAAGCAUGGCGUCCAAGGGUCUACUUGUGUUUGCUCUCCUGCUUGCUGCUGCUAUCCUCGUCGCCUCAACUGAACAAACUCGUGAGCUAACCCGAUACUGAUCUUGGAGUACUUUUGAACUAGCAGGAGUUAACUGGUCGUCAUUAGGCUAGGAAUCUUGCUUUGCUGCGUGCUGCUCCUAAUUUCAAUGCACAAUGUUUUUCUGUUCAUGUAGAGGCCAAGAAGGAGGAGAAGAAAGCCGGCGUAGAGGGCUACGGCGGCGGCGGCGGCGGCGGCUACCCCGGAGGCGGCGGCGGCGGCUACCCUGGAGGCGGCGGGGGAGGCUACCCAGGCCACGGUGGAGGAGGAGGCGGCGGCUAUCCAGGACACGGUGGAGGAGGUGGCGGAGGCUACCCAGGCCACGGUGGAGGAGGCGGCGGCGGCUACCCGGGCCAUGGUGGAGGAGGANNNNNNNNNNNNNNNNNNNNNNNNNNNNNNNNNNNNNNNNNNNNNNNNNNNNNNNNNNNNNNNNNNNNNNNNNNNNNNNNNNNNNNNNNNNNNNNNNNNNNNNNNNNNNNNNNNNNNNNNNNNNNNNNNNNNNNNNNNNNNNNNNNNNNNNNNNNNNNNNNNNNNNNNNNNNNNNNNNNNNNNNNNNNNNNNNNNNNNNNNNNNNNNNNNNNNNNNNNNNNNNNNNNNNNNNNNNNNNNNNNNNNNNNNNNNNNNNNNNNNNNNNNNNNNNNNNNNNNNNNNNNNNNNNNNNNNNNNNNNNNNNNNNNNNNNNNNNNNNNNNNNNNNNNNNNNNNNNNNNNNNNNNNNNNNNNNNNNNNNNNNNNNNNNNNNNNNNNNNNNNNNNNNNNNNNNNNNNNNNNNNNNNNNNNGGCGGCUACCCGGGCCACGGUGGAGGAGGCGGCGGCGGCUACCCGGGCCACGGUGGUGGCGGCGGCGGUGGCUACCCCGGACACGGCGGAGGCGGUGGCGGCAGUGGAUGUCAAUGGGGCUGCUGCGGUAACGGGUACCAUGGCUGCCGCUGCUGUGCGCGCGCGGACGAGGUCCCGGAGCCCAUGUACCGCGCGGAGGUCCGCAACUGAGCACACGAGGUGCAGCCAUGCAUACGUACCUACGCGUGCGUGCAACUCUGCGUGACGUUGCUCUGCGCACGUAUAGUAAGUUGCUGGUAAAUAUGGUCUCUGAUAAAUAAACUGCGUACGUAUACGUACGAGAGCCCGGUUUGCACUUUGCACAGUGGUGAUCUUGGAGAACCCACCCCUCUGUGUUCUUGUAUGUAAUUAUGUAUAAAUACCCCACUUUAUAUGUGUUCUCCAUGUACUGUAUGUAUCAAUUUCCAUGUUUACUGUUAUGGGAAUAUGUUAUUGUGCAAUAAAAUCACAGAGGAAUAUAGCCAAAGUUCUACACGGUGCACUUAAUUCCUUCUGUAUGCGA